rnacentral:lncRNA from 1 species
CAGAAAUUAAUAAAUAAAGAACCUAGCUUUUUUAUUCAUCAUAAGCAUAAAUAUUACAUAGAGUGGGCUAGAAGCAUGCUCCACAUUAUUUUAGAAAGCGAUCGAGCUAGGUUAUAAUAAGCAUAGAUAAUUAACUAUGCAUCAUUCUUGUUUACUUUGGUGAAGCCAAAGGGAUAAGGCUUGUUAUUGAGAGCCAGACGGUAGUAACCACUAUUGUAGGUCAAUCCGACAUCUGCACAAUCAAAGUUACAUGUUGGACAAAUAUAUUGACUAGGACAAUACCUUAACUUGUAAGAAUAAGGUCUCCCCGUCUCAUAUUUCUCAAUCUUGAACCAGUUCUCUAUGUUAUUAGGCCCUGGAAAUCCUAAGGUACCACCAGUUAUAACAAACCUAAGUGGUGAAUGCGUCGGCCCUACGAUGGAAUAACCAACUUUCCAAACAGUUUCGUUAACACAUGACUUAGUUGAAGAAGAAGAAGUUGAGAACUUUAUACUAACAUCUUGAUUUUCAUAAACGAAAUGACUUCCAAGUUUCAUAGUAUAAAACAACAGAGGUGUGCUGUUAUCAAAUUCACCAGAACUGUCCUGCACAACGCCAUUUGGGCAUUUGGUGUUUCCAAGAUCAGUUAAGUAUAUGUUUCCACCGCCAUAGGGAAUACUGAUAACGGAGUACUCCUCGUUUAUCUUGAGUGGUUCGCCCUCCAUGUCCAGCACGGGAGGGAAUACAACAUUCCCAUUAUUAUCAGAAAUGGAAAAUUCAUGAGAAAAGGCAACCAAACUUGAAACCAAUAGGAAACUCAAAAUAGUACUAAUACACUUCUUCAUCUUUAAUUUGUUUGUGUGUUUUACUUGCUAUGACUCUAUCUCCAAUUUAUAGAGCUGCUAAGGGCAUUUUUGACAAACAAAAAAUGACCUUUUAUUUUAGGUUAUAAUAACCUAAAGAAAAUAAGUAGUACAUAACAUAUUUUUUUUAUUUUUAACAAAUAAAUAAUGAUCACAAAGAAUUGAAAAUGGGAAGGUUAAUGUUCUAUUUAUUCAAUCUAUGUUAAUUUUUAUAUAUAGUACCUUUUUUUUUAUAACUUUGAAGCAAAAAUAUUUAUUUAUAUAUAUAGGCUAUAGCUAUAAGAUUUUGUUUUCAAAUAAUUUUAUUAUGGUUAUGGGUCCUAUAUUCAUCCCUCCCACUGUCAAAGUUUGCGUCAAACAACUAUAUAUAUAUAUUUUAUUUUAUUUUUUUCUUGUAAAUUCGAAACUCAACUUAAAAUAAUAAUUAAAUAUUCCAUUGCAAAACUACAUAAAGUUCCCAGUUUUAUUUUCUCAAUUUUUAUUGUAGUAAAAAAGUUGAGAAAUUAACAUUGUCAAUUUAAUUUUUGUAGUUAAGGAAUUUUAUGAUUUCGUGGAUAGUCAUAAGUUCGAACUUUUGUAGCUAUUACUAGAUAUUAGCCCUGACUAGCUUUUAAAUUCAUAGCUAAAUCUUAGUAGUAAAGUUCCCAUUUUUAUUUUCUGAACUUCAAUUAUAUAGUAAUGAAGUUGAGAAAUAACGGUCACAUUAAUUUUUAUAGGUAAGAAAGUUAAUAAAAUUGUGGAUAGUCAUGAAACUCGAAUUUUUGUAGCUUUUACAAGAUCAUCCUUAAAAGUUCUUUUUUAUUAAAUUUGAAAGAACUUAAAAUAAGUUAUUCAAACAUAUUCUAACUUAUAAUUAAAUUCUAACUUAUAUUAUUGUAAUUUAUGACGCUUAUAAUUAUAUUCUACCUUAUAAUAUUUUAAUUUAUACAUCAUAAGUUAAAGCGAAAUUAAAUAGGCUCUUGGUUAACUAUAUACUAGUACAAGGAGUCCGUGCUAGCACGAGCUCAAUAUCUUAAUAUUUUUUUAUUUUAAUUUAUAUGAUAUAGAUAGAAUUUAGAAAGUUGAUUAAAUUUUAAUGUGAUUUUUAGAUAUUUAAGUUGUUAAUUACUUUUUGUUUGCGCAAAUUUACUGUGAAGAGUUUCAUUAAGAUGUCCAUAAUUAAUGUACUUUUCGUCAUCAAUCGUUGAUUUUUCUUAUUUUUUAAUAAUUAGUUUACAAAUUACAUAACUACAUAGGAAAAAUUCACCACAAAAAUAAAUAAUAUCUUAUUUUUUUCCCUAAUCUUGCAAAAGUAUUGUUUUUACCUUUCUUCUAAUCCUACAAAAAAUACAUAAAAUUUAAAAUGUAAUAUGUAAUCACAAAAUUAAAAAAAUAGUACAUAAAAAUAAAACAUAUUUUUUUAAAAAUGAAACUUAGCAAAACUUAUGAGAUGUGUUAAUUGAUUAAUAAGAUAUAUUUAAACCCAUUAAUUAGCGAUUGAGACAUAAUAAUUUUUUAUAUGUACAUUGUGAAUCACACGUACUCAAUGGUCCCGUAAAUCUUAAUGAUAUUUUGGAUAAACACCACAUGGCUGCUUAGAGAUUUAAUGAUUUUGGAUGUAUUUGAUAUUUUCCCACCGAACACUUUAUCUUCAAUCUCACUUUUUGUACGUAGUGUAUAAGAAUUUUAUUUUCUUGAGAAACAUCUUUCAAAGAGAAUAUUUUUUUUCGUAAUUAUUAUACCCUGAACAACCACAAAUGUUAAUAUCAACAUUUUGGUUUUUGAGUUGAAAUGUUAGAAAGAAAAACAAAGCAGAAAUGAGAAUUAUUAGGCAUACAAAAGUACAAAAUAGUUAACCAAACAACAAUAAUUAAGAUACCAAAAAUGCAAAUAAUGUUCUAGUCAUUCCGCACCAGAGACCUUUCUAAUGAGUGCUGAAAGUUUUAGAUAACUUUUAUAUGUACUUCAGUCAUUAAUUUUGUCUUGGUUUUAAUAACCUUAGUUUAAAAUGUUUGAAGUUUAUCAUUGUUAAGGCUACAAUUUUUUGUCAAAAAUGUUUGAAGUUAGAUAGUCUUCGCAACAAGGUAAGUUCUGUAAAAUGCUUGAAAUUUUGCCUUUACCUAAUAUAAAACUUCAGUAAAAAUUGUCUGAAUUUUUUUUUUAUGAUGACCUUCACAAAGGCACACCUUAGACAAAAAUGUUUAUAGAUCUAGGUUUUAAAUUGUAAAAUUUCUGCUCCAUAUUAGUUGUUUAUUUUUUUAAAAAAAUAAUUUAUCCAUAACCUUUUUUUAAAAUUUUUUUACAAACUUAUUUACACUUUUUAAAAAGAAUUAAUUAUUAUAAGGUUAAAAAGAGAAAAUAAUAAUAAUUAAUUCACUUUUAAUUUUAUAAAUUGACAAAUAAUUUGAGAAAAGUGUUUUUAAAAUAUGAACAACUAAUAUUGAAUGAAGGGAUCCGAGUAAAAUUAAGCUAUAACACCUUAAUUAGUUUUACUUAUCAUACGUUUGUGUUAGGGUUUUGCCCUAAUUUUCUUACCUUAUUUGAAGUUUAUAUUUUCCUAAAAGAAAAGACAAAACAUCACCAUAAAUGUUUUUACUUUUUGAAAGGAAAAUAUAAUUUUCUUCCAUAUUUGGGUUAUUUCUUCCUUAGAGGAAAUGUUUGGAAUCCUAUAAAUCGAAGACCUCUCCUCUCAUAUCAAGAACAACAAGAGCAUCCACAAUGUAGGGGAGAUUUUCUCAUAAACAUAUUUAUGAUUUUUUAAUAUUAGUUUUCAAUAUGUAGGUCGCUUGACCAAACCAUAUUAAUAAUAUGUCUUUAGUAUUUUCUUUAUUUGUCGUCUGAUUUCUCAACCAUAUGAUUUGCAAUUAUAUUUCUGUUUAUUAUCAAUUCUCAUUGUGAAUGUUUUUUUUUGGUUUCCCAUCCAGUGUUCGGAGCCCACAUUGGAGCUCCGACUAAAUUCAGAUCACGCUCUGCAAGGCCCAUUUGGGGUGGGAGCAAAUUCGUUCAACCUCAUAGUUACUGACAUUGUGAAAUUAAUUCAAUGUUUUUUUUUUUUGAUUUUCCACCCGGUGUCCGGAGCUCACAUUGGAGCUUCGACUAAAUCCGGAUUGCGCUCUGCAGGGUCCAUUCGGGGGUGGCGCUUCCAACAGGAUUUUCUCCAUACCCAGGGCUCGAAUCCGAGACCUCUGGUUAAGGGUGAAACACUCCCACCAAUGCACCACAACCCAUGUUGGUUAAUUCAAUGUUAAUUGUAUGUACUAUGGACGAACCCUAAAUUACAUAAACUGAAACAAAUGAUUAUACAAUAAAUUAUUUUAGUGCUAAAAACAGCGUAAAAAAUUGAGGGAUAUCGUAUCUUUUUGACCUAAAAGAUAUUUGAAUACAUCACCAUUGAAGAUAGAUACCAACAGGCUAACAACCAAGUUAUUUUCAUUUUUGUCAUGUAAUCUUAGCUAGUUAAAGGCCAAAAAUGAAUAUUAAUGUCUUGAAGGGACCGCAUGUGUUACUAUCCCAUAACUAAAACGUGCCAAACAAAUAUGUCAAAUUAUUUGGAGUCCGGAGCCAAAUGGACAAAAAAAAUUGUCAAAAAUUUCAAAAGGUCAACAAAAUUGAUUUUAGAACCAAAAGGGCAAACAUUGCAACACCCAAACUAACGCUGUUGAAAUCAGGGUACAGUUUACAAAGCGUAGCCGUCUUGAGUCCUACAAGGCGCUGAGAGCUUGCGCCUUGUGAGGCGCAUCGAGUGUGCGCUUCUCCUUAAAUUGAAAAAAAAAGAAAUGCAUUUUCAUUUGGGGANNNNNNNNNNNNNNNNNNNNNNNNNNNNNNNNNNNNNNNNNNNNNNNNNNNNNNNNNNNNNNNNNNNNNNNNNNNNNNNNNNNNNNNNNNNNNNNNNNNNNNNNNNNAAGUGCAGUAUCAGUACACAAAUCACAGUGUACUGAUAGGAUCACGCGGCUAUUCCAAUAGGGAAAUACAAGCAAGUAGUUACAACAUAGUAAACAUACAUAUACAUAUUGUAUCAUUCAAUUAUCAUUUAGGAACAACAUACAAUUUCCCGAUAUCAAUGAUAGGUAAACAUGAACGUAAUAAUCACUAGUGGUCCUCUCAUGGAACCCACGCCCAAAUUGUUAGUGUGUCGGAACGUGACACCCGCUACAAUAUACAUGUGUCGGAACGUGAAAUCCGGUUCAAUAUAUAUUUCGGAACGUGAUACCCAAUCCAUUGUAUGUGUCGAAACUUGACACCCGAUCUAGUCAGCACAACCGCAAUCACAAUCACCCAUAAUGAACAGUGCACAUAGUCACACAGUCAAGUAACAAGUUCAUGGCAUGCAUGUAAUGGUUCGCACAUAAUCAUUUCAUUAGAUUUGAUUCACAUUUUCCAAUUCACAUACAUGCAUGCAUACAAUGAAGCAAUUAGCCGGCAUAUAUCACACAAACAGGAAAUUGAAUCAUCACCUACCUUGAAAUCAAGCCUGAAUACUCCUAAGACAUGUGUGCCUUCCCUUUCCGAGUCUUUCAGCUCGUUCUUGAUCUAAAACAAGCAAUUAAUGCAAGGAUCACUAAACAAUGUCUAAUUUACUCGGAUAAUAACAAAAUUAUUAACCCAAGACCAAACGGAUGAUCCUAAUGUUCAACCAGGGCUUUUCCCCACCAUUAACUUCAGGCCAACCCCCCCUCCCCUCAACGAUGAUUACCCAAGAUUCUAAGUUCUAAGAAUCGAAAUACGGAUUAGGGGAGUAAUAAUCUUACCUUUAGCGCUAGAAAUCGUGGAAAACUGUCAAGAAACUGCCCUGGUUGUCCCUUAGCUCUCAAGAACGAAGUUUGCAGAAAAAUAACGAAUUUGGGGUUUUUCUCCGACUUAAUUCGCGACUAGCCCGCCAUGGCAGACCCCAUCCCACCACAGUGUCCCCACCCUGACGGGAAUAAUCCUGUCCCCGUGGCUUUCACAGAGAUAGAAGUUCAAAAUUUGAGUACCAAGCUCCUAUUUCACAACACACAUUUAAACCUGGAUGUUUUAAAACUACCAUUUCACGCCAAGAUCAGUUUCAGGAGUUCUACUCACCCGAAUUCGAUUCUGUAGAGUCGUACAUGCUCCUUAACAUCUUGGCUAUCCACUCAUGUGAUCCAAUUAUUAAUUAAAUCCACAUUCAUUACCAGAUUUCCCUAGACCUCACCUGACUCGAAUUUCGUCCAAGUCUGGCCUAGGGUAGAAAUUUCCAAGUCACUACUCAGAAGUUUUCUGGCCCAAAUUCUUUCCUCAUUGGCUUUUCAAUAACGACAGAAAUAGGUCAUUACACAAGGCAAUGAUUUUUUUUUAAUUUACAGCCAAGUCAUGAAUUUCCUGCGCCUUACAAGGCGCAAGUCGUCUGCAUCUUGUAAGACGCAAGGCGGCUGCGCCUUGUAAGGCGCAUUGCGGCUGCUCCCUAAUUUGGACGACGUUAAUUUGAUCGUUACAAAGUUGUCCUUUUGGUUCUAAGAUUAAUUUUGUUGUCCUUUUGAAUGUUUUGACAACUUUUCUUGCCCUUUCGGCUCCGGACUCCCCUCCUAUGUCUCCUAGGGGUGGGUGGGCAAAUUAAUUUAUUUUAGAACAUUAUUUUAUUUUGUUUAUUAAAUAGACUUUAAAAUAUAUAUUUUUAAUUAGGUGUUUGUUAUAUCAUCAACAAAUGUAUUAAACUCUUCUUUAAGGUUUUUGCUGGUUGUCAAAAAGGUGACAAAAUUAUAUAACAAAAUCCUACUACAAAUAUUUAAAAUGGACAAAAUCUACCGAAGGUUUAUAUGUGUGUGGAUUAUAUAGAUUACCCAAUCCGUUUAUUCGCAUCCUAAAUUGGACUGCACCAAUAUAAAAAUAUCACUUUCAUAUUGAUUAAUGUAUUUAUUGCUCCAUAUAUUAUUGGCCUAAAUGAUACUAAUGUAAUUGUCCAUAACUAAAACAUGCCAAUGAAGUAGGAUUUGAAAAAAAGAAACGUAGUUGUCAUGCAAGCAAAUCAAUUUGCUAUGUACCCUUUUAUUAUUUUUCCAGCUAUCAAGAAUGCAAGGCUAGAUUUGAGAAUUUCAACAAAAUAUUAAUAAAAUAAUAUAUCCUCCAUGCCCUAACAAGUAGGGAUAUUGGAAAAUUGUUGUACAAAUAAAUUUCUACAACAAUAAACAAUGAGACUUCUACGUCAAUUCAAUAUACAAUAAAAUUCACUUCUAGUCAAACCAACAUACAAUACACAUUUGCAUCCAUUACAAUAGUGUUUCUUAUUUUUUAAAGAUUUCCCCCUUUGAACCAAAUUUAAGUCUACUGGGCAUGACUAAUCAAAAUUAAUAUGCAAUUGAUUAAACAUCUUAUCAAUGAAAUUCACAUCACGUAAUCAAUAACAAUGCAUAUUAUAACUUGGACUUAGUCGUAACUCCAAUGCAAACAGAUCAAUAAUGAAUAGUACUAAUGUCGUGACGGUACCAUAAGUAAUAGGUAGCACUUAUUAAUUACUAAAACUAAUUUGUUUGAAAGCAGAAAUUAAUAAAUAAAGAACCUAGCUUUUUUAUUCAUCAUAAGCAUUAAUUAAUAUUACAUAGAGUGGAAUAGAAGCAUGAUCCACAUUAUUUUAGAAAAGCGAUCGAGCUAGGUUAUAAUAUAAUAAGCAUAGAUAAUUAACUAACUAUGCAUCAUUCUUCUUUACUUUGCUAAAGCCAAAGGGAUAAGGCUUGUUAUUGAGAGCCAGACGGGUGUAUCCCCUAUCUUCGUACAAUCCGACAUCUGCACAAUCAAAUUGGCAUGUUGGACACAUAUAUUUACUAGGACAAUACCUUAACUUGUAAGAAUGAGGUCUCCCAUCCUUAAACCUAAUUUAAGUCUACUGGGCAUGUCUAAUCAAAAUUAAUAUGCAAUUGAUUAAACAUAAAAGGAUCUUAUCCAUGAAAUCCACAUCACGUAAUCAAUAACAAUGCAUAUUAUAACUUGGACUUAGUCGUAACUCCAAUGCAAACAGAUCAAUAAUGAAUAGUACUAAUGUCGUGACGGUACCAUAAGUAAUAGCUAAUAUUGUGACGGUACCGGAUAUGGAAUUAUCCAUAAGUAAUACGUAGCACUUAUUAAUUACUAAAACUUAUUUGUUUGAAAGCAGAAAUUAAUAAAUAAAGAACCUAGCUUUUUUAUUCAUCAUAAGCAUUAAUAUUACAUAGAAGUAUGAUCCACAUUAUUUUAGAAAGCUAGGUUAUAAUAAGCAUAGAUAAUUAACUAACUAUGCAUCAUUCUUCUUUACUUUGCUAAAGCCAAAGGGAUAAGGCAUGUUAUUGAGAGCCAGACGGGUGUAUUCCAUAUCUUUGUACAAUCCGACAUCUGCACAAUCAAAUUGGCAUGUUGGACACAUAUAUUGACUAGGACAAUACCUUAACUUGUAAGAAUGAGGACUCUCCGUCUCAUAUUUCUCAAUUUUGAACCAGUUGUUUAAGGUAUUAGGUCCUGGAAUUCCUAAGGUACCACCAGUUAUAACAAACCUAGGUGGUGGAUGCACCGGCCCUAGAAAGUAAUAACCAGCUUUCCAAACAGUUUCGUUAAAACAUGACUUAGUUGAAGAAGAAGUUGAGAACAUUAUACUAACAUCUUGGUUUUCAUAAACGAAAUGAUCUCUUCCAAGUUGCAUAGUAUAAAACAACACGGGUGUGCUGUGAUCAAAAUCACCAGACCUGUCCUUCACAACGUCAUUUGGGCAUUCGGUAAGGUUAUCAAUAUCAGCUAAGUAUACGCUUCCACCUCCCGGGAGAACACUCAGAAUGGAGUACUCCUCGUUUAUCUUGAGUGGUUCGCCGUCCAUGUCCAGCACGUGAGGGAAUACAAUAUUCCCAUUAUUAUCAGAAAUGGAAAAUUCAUGAGAAAAGGCAACCAAACUUGAAACCAAUAUAUUACUAAUACUCUUCUUCAUCUUUAAUUUGUUUNNNNNNNNNNNNNNNNNNNNNNNNNNNNNNNNNNNNNNNNNNNNNNNNNNNNNNNNNNNNNNNNNNNNNNNNNNNNNNNNNNNNNNNNNNNNNNNNNNNNNNNNNNNNNNNNNNNNNNNNNNNNNNNNNNNNNNNNNNNNNNNNNNNNNNNNNNNNNNNNNNNNNNNNNNNUAAAGUUCCCAGUUUUAUUUUCUCAAUUUUUAUUGUAGUAAAAAAGUUGAGAAAUUAACAUUGUCAAUUUAAUUUUUGUAGUUAAGAAAUUUUAUGAUUUCGUGGAUAGUCAUAAGUUCGAACUUUUGUAGCUAUUGCUAGAUAUUAGCCCUGACUAGCUUUUAAAUUCAUAGCUAAAAUUUAGUAGUAAAGUUCCCAGUUUUAUUUUCUCAAUUUUUAUUGUAGUAAAAAAGUUGAGAAAUUAACAUUGUCAAUUUAAUUUUUGUAGUUAAGAAAUUUUAUGAUUUCGUGGAUAGUCAUAAGUUCGAACUUUUGUAGCUAUUGCUAGAUAUUAGCCCUGACUAGCUUUUAAAUUCAUAGCUAAAAUUUAGUAGUAAAGUUCCCAGUUUUAUUUUCUCAAUUUUUAUUGUAGUAAAAAAGUUGAGAAAUUAACAUUGUCAAUUUAAUUUUUGUAGUUAAGAAAUUUUAUGAUUUCGUGGAUAGUCAUAAGUUCGAACUUUUGUAGCUAUUGCUAGAUAUUAGCCCUGACUAGCUUUUAAAUUCAUAGCUAAAAUUUAGUAGUAAAGUUCCCAGUUUUAUUUUCUCAACUUCAAUUAUAUAGUAAUAAAGUUGAGAAAUAACGGUCACAUUAAUUUUUAUAGCUAAGAAAGUUAAUGAAAUUGUGGAUAGUCAUGAAACUCGAAUUUUUGUAGCUUUUACAAGACCAUCCUUAGAAGUGUUUUUUUAUUAAAUUUGAAAGAACUUAAAAUAAGUUAUUCAAACAUAUUCUAACUUGUAAUAUUUUAAUUUAUGAUGCUUACAAUUAAAUUCUAACUUAUAAUAUUUUAAUUUAUACAUCAUAAGUUAAAGCUAAAUUUUUUGGAAACUGUAAUAUUUUAUUACCAGAUUUGCAAUAUGUACAAAAUUGGAAACUCCGGAUGUGGACAGUUUCCACUCUCAGAGUCCAUCUAAUUCAAAAGAGUUCCUCCUUGCUAGUACUAUUCUAAGGAUAGAAGUUUAGCUUUUGCGUAAAACCUAUAAAAAGUUAAAGCUAAAUUAAAUAGGCUCUUGGUUAACUAUAUACUAGUAAAAGGUGUCCGUGCUAGCACGGGUUCAAUAUCUUAAUAUUUUUUAUUCUAAUAGACUUCUUCAUCUUUGAUCUUUGUUUGUGUGUUUUACUUGCUACGAGUCUAUCUCCAAUUUAUAGACCUGCUAAGGGCAUUUUUGACAAACAAAAAAUGACCUUUUAUUUUAGGUUAUAAUAACCUAAAGAAAAGUAACAUAUUUUUUUUUAAUUUAAAAGUAAGGACUAUAUAUAUACUGUGUUGUAACGUCUAAAUUGGAUCAGACCACCAAUAUGAAUAGUAUUGAGCAAAUUUUAUCUUGAUAUUUUAAUUAUAUAUUCACCGUUCAAUAUAUAUAUAUAUUAACUCCAACCACCAAGGAUACAAGUUUCCUAAAUGGUGGAGGAUUGGACAUAGAUCCCUACCAUGUAUAUUACUAAGCAAUAACACCGUUCAAUAUAGAUAACAGGCUAACAACCACAAAUGAAUAUUAAUGUCCCAGCGAAACCGCACAUGCAUGAGAUUAUCCCAUGACUGAGGGUGUGUUUGGUAGGGAGGAAAAGACCUGUAGGAAUGUUGGUAAAAAAAGGGUGCAGAAAUAAAAUAAAAAAGAUGUUUUGCCAAGAAAAAAAAAUGCGAAUGAAGAACAAACUAAAACUUGAGAAAAUGGAAGAGUGAGAGAAAAAAUGUGACAACGAAAAGGACCCACAAAUACACUUGUCAAAAAGAGAUUGUUCCCACAUACAACUAAUCUUCAUAUUUUAAUUAUAUAUUUAUAUUCACCAUUCAAUACCGACAACAGGCUAACGAUAACCACAAAUAAUGAAUAUUCGGGACCCAUGAGAUUAUCCCAUAACUAAAACGUGUCAAUGAAGUACAAUGACAAAUUUUACUUUAUGUGGGUUUUCUUCAAAAAAAACAAAAAAUCCAUUCUCUUCCGGCCCGUUUGACCAUGCGAUAUGAAAUCAUGAUAUGGUAUCAUAAUAUGGAAUCAUGAGAUGAAAUUGAAGUUUUAUUUGGACAUGCGAUAUGAAAUUUUUGUUUUAUAUAUUUUCUCAUACUCAUAAGAAUCUAUAAGUUGUAAAACUAUUAAAAUAGCCCAAAUUGUUUAUGCAAUCUUAGCAAAUAAACAAAAUUUUAUAAAAUUGCAUAAUAAAUUAUUAUAAAGCUAUUUGUUUCCCACUUAAGUAACUAUUAUAUCACUUUAAUUCAAUUAAAAAAAAUUGAACAUAAAUUGUAGUGAACAAGUCUUUAAUAUAAUCCUCCCACAUAAUACAGACAAUCUCCUCACGUUGAACUUGCAUUUCUCGAUCAUGUGAUCGAGAAGACAAACCAGCAUUGUUACUUUGAGCCAUUUUUUGGUCAAUAUCAUCUCAACUAUAUUUUCAUCAUCAUAGACCAUAAAUAUUUCAUUACUCCUUUUCACAAAUAAUUAUGUAACACUGCACAACCUAUGACAAUUUUCACUUGUGUGUCAAUAUCAUAAUGAUUCAUGCCUUGUUUCAGUAUCUUGAAUCUAUUUUUCAAGCUCCAAAAGUCUGUGGGGUUGUUUUAACAAAAUAUAAACUUGUGAAUCAAUUUUUGUGUUGGUGUCAAUAUCAUAAUGAUUCAUGCCUUGUUUCAGUAUCUUGAAUCUAUUUUUCAAGCUCCAAAAGUCUGUGGGGUUGUUUUAACAAAAUAUAAACUUGUGAAUCAAUUUUUGUGUUGAAAAAAUCUCAAAUCAUGAUAUGGAAUUCCCAUAUAAUUCCAUAUCAUGAUUUUUGGUGAAUAUGGUAUUCCAUCAGCGUAAAAUCGCAUGUCUAAACGUUGAUUCCAUCUCACGAUUUCAUAACGUGAUAUGGUAUCGCAUGGCCAAAUGCCUACUUAUUAAUUGAGAGGGAGUUUGCGUUGCACGAGAUUUGUUUAUGUAUUUUAUAGAAAAAAAGGGUAAAAAAUAUCCUUUAAUUUUGAUUUACUAGUUGAUUAUGUCAUUACCGUUAAAAUGAAGUUAUCUCUGUCGUUAUUAAUUUCAUCAUUUAUGUCCUUCAAUUGGAUGGAAAUCCCAAAUCAUUUAAAAUUGCCUAAUUUAACUUAAAUUAUCCAAUUUUAACCCGACCCGACCCACCUAAUAAUAUAACCCAUUUUGUUCAUCUUCAUUUCUGUACCCUCCCCUUUUUCUCAAUUUCCUCCUCCACGCCGGAAAUCACGAAACCCCCUAUCUCUUCCGACCUCUUUCACCACCAUACAACACUCAACCAGUCACCGUAAACCACUUGGAUAUAAUGUAUUUUGCAAAUUAUAUCUAAUUUUUAUCUCAUAUAUUUCGGUAUCCUGAGAUACAUGUAGUUGGAUGCAUCAAAAUUUAGUAAGAUUCGUAAAUAAGCAAAUUAAAAUAUAUCUAACUAAUUAGCUCCUAAACUAGUGAGAUUUAUGUAAGUUUCUUAUUAUUUAAUUGUAUGCUUGAUUAUGAAUAUUAGUAUUAAAAUUUCACAUUUUUACUAAAUUGGCGGGAUUAACUAUCCAUAAAAAAGAUAUGAUAGCUAAUUCCAAGAAAUAUGAUCCCUGUCUAUCUCAUCUCACCAACCAAACAAUCCCAUAAUGUUUUACAACUGUUUUUAACCAAGAAAGAAGUAUUGAAUGCAUUCCCUCUAUUUGACUAACUAGUAUUAACUAAUACUCAUUUUAAGUUUACUUUAAAGAACCACUUUCAUAUAUGAAAUGGUUUAUUAUCUUGAUUUAUAAAGAUUAAAUUUUUUUGAUGUUUUACUUUGGUAAAUACAUAAGGGUUUUAAAAUAGUAAAUGGGAGGUGGGGCUUCUUAAAAGGUUGAAUCCAUCAAUAGCCUCUUAAGAUUGACCCGAAAUUUUCACUUAGACACCUUAAAUAAGUUUUAUUCAUUUUAAAUACCUAAUAUCAAGCUAUCAUAUUAUGUCACUUUAACACCAUUUUUUUUUACAAUCAACAAAAAUAAAUAUGUAAUAUGAGUUACACUGAAUAACAUGUAAAGUAUCAAAUUAAAUAAAAAUAUUUAUUAUUUGUCUCCAAAAUAAUUCUUAAAUAAUAAGUUUUGAGUAAAAAUAAAAAAAUCAAUUUGUAGGAUUUAUUAUUUAAUUUGGCUUCAACUAGAGUAAUUGGUAAAAUUAAUAAAUAUUACCUGAGAAUAUUGUCCAUUGUUCUUAAAGGACUCUUGAAACUUGACAUCAGGUGGAGAACCAUUCAUGAGAUUAUUGCACUAAUAAAAUUAAGUUGCAACACCUAAUUUUACUUACCAUAAUUAUUAAGAGUAAAAUUUACCUGCAUAUGAUGUAUAUACCAAUCUAAUAUAUACAUAUCAUGUGUUUGAAUUUAUGGUUCAUUUUAUCUAACCUUAAUUAAAUAAGAUUUGUUUUACUUCAUUUUAAUAAUUUAUAUUCACCAUUGAAUAUAAAUAACAGGCUAACAAUUCCAAAAAUUGAUAUUAAUGUGCUAGGAUCGCACGGAGUUAUCAUUAUCCCACAAGUAAAAUAUGUCAAUAAAGUACGAUCGAGAUUUAUACCACUAAUUAUUUUGGUACCAAUCAAGAAUGGAUCUUAAAAAUAAUGGCAAAUCACUAUUAUGCAAAAUGAUUUUUUUAGAUUAUUUUUUUUGACAAAUUAAUGAUUGAAGGAUAGGGUUUGCGUUAUAUGAUAUAUAAAACUUAGUUUUGAAUUUGAGUAAAUUGAGUGUUGAAACUCAAAGAAUAAUUGGGCAAAAUAAAAAAUAAAAAUUGCACUUCAAACACAUAUAACUGAGGUUUUAAUCAAUUUUUAUACACUUCAAUCAAUCAUAUGUACAUUAAAUAAAAAAUAAAAAUAAUGUUAAAUGAGCUUGUUAAAUUUAUUGUUAUUUUGAUAAAUUGAUGAUUUGAGUUUGUUUCAUACGAUUAUAAACCUUAUAAUUUAAAUUCAAACAUAUCUGAAUCAGAUUUGAGUAUUAAAUCAAUUGUUUGGAAGUAGAAACUAAUAAAUAAAGAACCUUGAUUUUUCUUAUUCAUAAUCACAUUAAUAUUACAUCGAGUGGAAUAUAAGCGAUAGAGCACCACAUUGCUACUUGCACUCUGUUUGGAUCAUUGUUAACCAUUGUAUUGUAUUAUAUUGUUACUAUACCUACAAUGUUUGUUUUGAUUGUUACUUAAACUGUAUUGUAUUGUACUGUUAAAUUUCGUUGUUACAUAACAAUGAAAACCCCUAUUUUAUGGAACAACCGAUUUGGUGUGUUCCCAUCGUUACUUAAUUUCUUUUUCCAAUUAUAUCUUUACAUAAUAUUUCAAAAUACUAUUUUACCCUUUACCUUAUAUUAUUUAAUUCUAGUCAAACCUCCUACCCUAGAAUAAUUAAGGAUAUUUUAGUAAAUUUAUAAAUCCUAUCCUAGAAUAAUUAAGGAUAUUUUAGUAAAUUUAUAAAUUACAAUACAGUAUGAUACAAUCAAACCAAACAAUUAAAAUGUUAUUAAACAACAACAAACAAUACGAUCUAGCCAAACAUUGUAUCUACCAUACAAUACAUUACAAUAGAGUACAAUACAAUACAAUAUAUUAUGAAACAAUGGGUAACAAUGAUCCAAACACAGUGUUAGUGGCAUGGGUUCAUUUGCACGUUUUUGUUACAUGAAUAAUAGUAUCUAUUGUCCUUCAAUGUGUGAGACAUAUAAUUAGUAUAGAGACUUGCUAUUUUAACAAAUAAUUAAAAGGUAAGGUUGGUAGACGUUAGCAGAGUAAAUUUCAUCCAAUUUUGUGUUCAUUACCUAAAGUCAUCAUGUAGGAGGUACGUUCAAAAUAAUUAUUCUUUUAAAAGUGAUCAUAUUUUAUCUUAAUCAAAUACAACUUUAACUCCAAUUUUAAAUUUUUGUAAAUAAUACUUCCUCCAUCCAUUUUUAGUUGUUAUGUUGCACUUUUCAAAAAUUAAUUUGAAUUAUUUUCAAAGUUAAAUAGAUUACAUUGAACAUAUUUUAAAUUAAAAAUUUAGAUAUUCAAAAACUAUACGAAAAGUACUAUAAAUUGCAAUUUUUUGCAUAUCAAUCUGAUAAAAAAAAUACAUCGUAAAAUAUUAGUCAAAGUUCUUAUCAUUUAACUCUAAAAAAGAAAACCAUGACAACUAAACAAAGAUGGAGUGAAUAUAAAUAUAUUUAAUUUAACAAACGAAUAAAGAUGAACUUAUAUGCUUUGAUUAUAAAAGUAGUCUAACAUUAUUUGUUUGUAAAAUUUGGAUGCAGUUAAACAUGGUUAUUAAAGAAUCACUUCGACUGUAAUUUAUUAAACGAAUGGCUUGUGAAUAUAUGAUUUGUUAAACACUUUAAUUUAUUAAAAAAAAAUUAUUAUUUUUCGAAAGAAGUACUUUUGAUCUUUUAACAACAAUGCGGCUUUUAUCCAUGGUUAUAGUUAGACGGUUUAGGUUCUCUAUAGAAAAGUUAAAUGUAUGGAACAAAUCAAAUUUAAAUUAAACCUAUUAUUUAGCGAUUGAGACGUAAAAAAUUUUUAUAUGUACAUUGUGAAUCACACAUACUCAAUGAUCCCGUAAAUCUUAAUGAUAAUUUGGAUAAAAGCCACCUAGCUGCUUAGAGGUUUAAUGAUAUAUUUUGGAUGCAUUUGAUAUUCUCUCUAAACACCUUAUCUCUAUUCCCACUUUCUAUAGUUUUCAUCUUCACCAUCCUACACUUUUACUAAUAUUCAUGAUAUGUCUUUUAAUAUUACUUGUUUAAAUUAUAUAGGGAAAAUGCAUAAGUACCCCCAACCUAUGCUCGAAAUCCCAGAGACACUUAUACUAUACUAAGGUCCUAUUACCCUCCCCCCCCCCUCCUAACUUAUUUUAUAAAUAAUUUUCUACCCCUUUUCGGCCUAUGUGGCACUAUCAACCAGAUAGCUUGAAAAAAUUGUCAACACGCGUUGGGCCCAGAAGAUAGUGCCACGUAGGCCAAAAAGGGGUAGAAAAUUAUUUAAUAUAUAUGAUGUAUGUAAUUUUUUAAAUUGUUCAAAGGGUAAAGGGUCAAAUAUGCCCCUAAACUAUUCAAAAAGGUCCAGUUAUACCCUCUGUUUAAAGUUUGGCUCACUCAUGCCCUCGUCGUCCAACUUUUCGUCUAAAUAUGCCCUUAUGGGCGUUAGUUGGCAUGCUGGACAUAUCCAGCUCAUUUUCCAUUUCUUUAACUACCACAUGGAAUUGCCAUGUCAUUUUGACUUUACCACAUGACAUUUAUAUAAAAAUGGAAAGGGAUCAAUUAUGCUCCUAAAAAAUUCGAACCCAUUAACACCUAAUCCGACCCAUAAAUCAACCCCCCCCCCCUCUUUUAAAUAAACUACCCGACCCGUUUUCAACAAUUUUGUUUAAAUUUUUAUUUUUUUCGGUAAAUCCUGAAAAUUAGUAAUUGAUAAUAAAAAAUAGGAAAAAUAUAAAAUUAACACCAAAAAUUCACAAAUAAAUAUUGUAACCUUAAAUUCAACAAUUUUUAAAAUUUUGUUUUUUUUUGGUACAUUCCAAAAAUGAGUAAUUGAUUAAUAAAAAAUAUGAAAAAUAUGAAAAAAAAAAAUAAAAUUAACGCCAAAAAAUCACAAAUAAAUAUUGUAACCUUAAAUUCAAAAAUUUCAACAAUUUUUUUUAAUUUUUAUUUUUUUUAAUAAAAUACUCAUUUUCGGAAUUUGUNNNNNNNNNNNNNNNNNNNNNNNNNNNNNNNNNNNNNNNNNNNNNNNNNNNNNNNNNNNNNNNNNNNNNNNNNNNNNNNNNNNNNNNNNNNNNNNNNNNNNNNNNNNNNNNNNNNNNNNNNNNNNNNNNNNNNNNNNNNNNNNNNNNNNNNNNNNNNNNNNNNNNNNNNNNNNNNNNNNNNNNNNNNNNNNNNNNNNNNNNNNNNNNNNNNNNNNNNNNNNNNNNNNNNNNNNNNNNNNNNNNNNNNNNNNNNNNNNNNNNNNNNNNNNNNNNNNNNNNNNNNNNNNNNNUAUUUUUUUCAUAUUUUUCCUAUUUUUUAUUAAUCAAUUACUAAUUUUCGAGAUUUAUCAAAAAAACAAAAAUUUAAACAAAAUUGUUGAAAACAAGUCGGGUAGUUUAUUUAAAAGGGGGGUUGAUUUAUGGGUCGGAUUAGGUGUUUAUGGGUUUGAAUUUUUUUAGGGGCAUAAUUGAUCCCUUUCCAUUUUUCAUAUAAAUGUCAUGUGGUAAAGUCAAAAUGGCAUGGCAAUUCCAUGUGACAUUUAAAGAAAUGAAAAAUGAGUUGGAUAUGUCCAGCAGACCAACUAACGCCCAUAAGGGCAGAUUUAGACGAAAAGUUGGAUGGCGAGGGCAUGAGUGAGCCAAACUUUAAACGGAGGGUAUAUCUAGACCUUUCCGAAUAGUUUAGGGGCAAUUUGACCCUUUACCCUUGUUCAAAAUACAAAUAAUUAGAAAACCACGCAAAUAUAUAUAUAUAUAUAUAUAUAUAUAAUACAUUCAAUUAAAAUCACAAACGUCAUAUACAAAUAAACGACUCACAUUUCAAAUUGUAUUGAUUUGUAUUGGAUUUAUUUAGUAACAAAACUCUCUCUAAAUAAUUUGUAAGCUAAUUUAUUUAAAUAAAUUUACUAGUACAAACAUAAAUCAUAAAAUCAAGAAAAUAAACAAAAUAAUUAAAAUAGAUUUGAGGGAUAUUUUUGUUCUUUACAUAGACUUAUCCCAUGGUAUUAUAUCCUAUAAUACCAUGUAGGAGGUAUAACUAAUCCAUGGAUUAGUUAUACAUAGGCUCAAAAUCCUACCAAAUAUAGUACUAAAUAAUACCUUACAUAAUACAUGGACUAUUUCUUCUAAUGUGGCCUACCAAACGACCCCUAAAAGGAUUACACAGCUAAAGACAUAAAAUUUACAUUAAAAAAUGCAAAUUCAUGAAGUUUGGGAGGUGGGGGUUAAUGUUUCAAUUAUUAAUUAAUUCUAUUUUAAUUCACUCAAUUUACUCCAUGCACUACAAAAAAUACGGGUUUUAGCAACACGUAAAACCGUGGCUAACACGACUUUGCCAUAGUCAUUUAGCCACCGUGGCUAUAACGGGUGCCACCAACAAAUUUGCCACGGUUUAGGCGACCGUGGUAACAUUUUGUUAGCCACGAUUUGAUGUGAAAAUAGUCACGGUUGAUCGUGGCGAAAUAUCACCAAUGAAAAUGUUCAUAAUAUAUAUUUACCAUGGUUGAACCGUGGCUAAAUACACUUUUUUAAUUAAAAAAAAAUUUCAAUUAUUUCCCAGCAAUACCCUGCAACCAAUGCAUUAUUUGAUAGGCAUCCACUAAUACACUGACCAUAAUACACAAAUCCUAUGCUCAAGAUGGUAUUUUUUAUUAACUGGACACAUAUCAAUUCAACGAGAAUCUAAGGUGCUUAUUGAAGGAACUAAAUAUACAUUGGCAUCCAUAAAUAUUUGAAGUGCCAAGGCAUAUGGUAUCUCUUUCAGGGUCUGUUUUCCUUCAUUUGCCUUAAGCUCAACAAUUCUCCUAAAAGAUUCGAAAGUAACGAUGCAAUAAGUUAGACCUCACAACAGUGAUAAACCUCAAUCAUACAACGCAUGUUAGAUUCCUUAUUUAUGCCAACAAUUAGAUAAACUAAUUUAAAUAGAUAGUUUUUUCCAAGGGAAACUCUUUAUUAACUGAAUAUGAUGUUUCAUUUGUCAUAUCCAAGUGGAUACAUGGAUUACAAAGAAAAUGGGAUUACAUAGGUCAAUCAAUGUUGAGGUGCCUCUUAAUUUAAAAAAUCAGCUGCAGCAGGAUGUAGACACACAUUUACAAAAUUGAAUAAUUGCACAUUAAAGGCAUAAAAUUUGUAGGCUAUCAUAUACGAUGAAAACAUAUGUCAAACGAACAAAGAAAUAUCAGCAAGAACCCAGUACAUACUCAACAAAUUCCACAGAGAAAUCCAAGAUCAACAGUUUGACAAAUGUCAAGAGGUAGUAUCAGAUAUACAUUUAGAAUAAAGGAGAAAAAAAGAUAUGAGUAGGCAUACAUCUUUAUUUUUUUUAAUAAGAUAGGCAUACAUCAAUUUUUCUCAAUUUGGACGGAGAGGGCACUUUCUGUUCUCAUCAGUCCCAUCAAAUGAGUGGAAGAUAUUGGUAAAAUCAUUCCGGAGGGCUGAAAUUUUAGUUAUGUUUAUUGUUAUCAAAGGUUAAAAGCACCAAAAGAAUAGUUGUUUUGUGAGAUGCCAAACAAUAUGCAACACAAUUGAUAAGCAUUGUACCUUGAAGAAAUCAUAUACAUGAUACUUGAACACCGAAUGAUAUGAUGAGUAACGAUCUGUAACAAAUUCUUUUAGCUGAAAUUAAGCUCCCAAGAACUACAAACCAGCAAAUAAAACAGAUUAGGAUUAUAGGAGAGCACACACAAUCAGUUCAUAUGUUAGAGACAUAACACAUAUUUUCAAAACAAGUAAGAUGAGAGAAUUACAAGUAAAACAAAGUGAAAAAAAGUUAAAUCCACCAAAUAUUUAGUGAAUAAGGAAAGCAACCUUGUAAUCAUAUGUGUUUUAGAUAAGCAUGAUUAGAGAAAUAUGCAAAAAAAAUUGAUAAUGUAUUUUUAGGAGAUUUAUUGCAGGCAUGAACCACAAUUGCAAUAACAUUGCAUUUCAAGGAAAAGUUUUGCUUAAAAUACCUUCAACCAACCUUUAACUAAAUGAUGGGAACAAGUAGAAGGAUGAUCUAGUCAUGAAACAAGAAUAAAAGAAAAGAGAGAAAAAUACUUUUAGAAUAACUAUAGAAUCGGCACUAUAAUAUACUACUCCCUCUGUUUUUAUUUUAUGUAACUUAGUUUGACGGGCCACAAAGUUAAAGGUGUGUAUAACAUAUCAAAAGUACCCUAUGAAUCUUAUGGUCUUAAAUAACCAGAAAGCUCUAGUGACCAAUUCUAAGAAUUGACAACAUCAAUGGUACUUAGAUAAUGUUCUUAGAGAUUAUACAUUUUCAAGGUGACUGCUAAAACAAAAUAUAAUCAUGAGGCAGAACACUAGAGCAAUCAAGUGGUAUACUCCCAAAUUCAUCUCAUUGUUUUAACAAGUAGAUUUGAUCAAAAGGCUCAAAUUUAAGCUUCAAAGUAUCCAACAAGAUGUUAAAUGCUAAGAACUUGUUUUCAUCUUCAUUUCCACAAACAUGAGCUCACACUUCACAGACAUACACAAACAAAAAAAAUGCAAUAUAAGUCCAUAGAGCCAAAUCAAAAUAAUCAUAUCUGGGCUAGAUUUCAUAUUUACUCAACUUGCUUAUUGAGAAGCAAUAUACUACGUGAAACAAAAUAAAAACAAAGAACUAUAAUCGAGGAUGAAACAUGGGAACAACAUGACACUUAACACAAAUGCAAUUCAAUAGUCGUACCAAUUCAAGAUAUUGUUGGAAAAUGGUCAUGCUGUGUAAAUACAGGGAAAAUGCUUCUCACUCAAUUCCUGUUAUAUUGUUAUAAGAUAUACACAUUUUUUUAUCCUUAUGUAUUCAAGUGUCACAUUGAUAAUUUACACUAUUGCAUCGUAGGAUGCAAUUCAUAUCAAAUGAGGAAACAAACCUAAACAAAUAUGUCCAGUGCUUAAAUGUGAGGAUGCGAUGGAGCUGGAGGGAUGAAAACAACCUAUCAAGUCAACAGAUAAAAUGCUAUACUGAAGAUAAAAUAAACUUUUAAAGAAAAGAAUACUAUAGAUAGGCAAGCUAAUGUUUUAUACGAUUAAAUCAUUCUAGACAUAAAACAAGAAGUUAGGUCAACGAAAAAACACAUAUAUAUUAAUGUAUUUCAUAAUUUUCUGAAGUGUUUCCCAAAAGACAAUCGUACAUUAUACAACCAAUACUAGUGGUGUCACCUACUCAAUAGACCGAGAAAUAUGAGGCUCUAAAACUCUUAAUUAUAUUCAAAGUCUUCCUAUACUUGGCAAGCUGAUUUUCAAUAAACAUUGAACAAUUAACAUUUAUUUACCUUAGUGGAGCUUGAGAAACCAAUCUCCUUUACGGUAUUUUUAGAGAAUCAUAACAGAGCUUCAGAACUGGACCCAAGUCAUAACAGAGCAAAAGUUGAAAAUUAACAAUCAAGAAACCUAAAUUAGUAAAAAUAUUCAAAAAAAAAAAACAUGCAGAAAUUUGAACAAUAAAACAUCAAAAGUUAUAGAAAUUUUAGAGAUUACAAAACAUUAAUUUUCUUUUGUAUUCAUGCAUGGGUUGGGGUGAAAGGGGGAAUUUGGGUUACCAAACAGUUUCUUUACUCGAGAUUUUUCAAAUUUUUGUACUAAAAAAACCUCAAAGAAACCAUUGAAUAUUGAACAAACUAUUGACUUGAAACUCCUGGAUAGCAAAGAUUUGUUACAUGAAAAAAGUGAAUUUACCAUUUCCGCUACUAUUCGAAGCAAGGCUACAAUAUUCUGCUAUUGUUCGAACCAUUCAAAAAAAUUUGGAGUGAAGCAAAUUAGUGUGAUUUUGGAUGAAGCUAAUUUUGGGUGAAGAAUUUUUUUGGGUAAAACAGAUUUGUGUGAUUUUGGAUGAAGUAGGAUUUUGGGUGAAGUAGAUUUGGGUGAUUCUCGAUGAAAAAAAGUUUUGGCUGAUUUUGGUUGAAAAGAAAUAGGGGCAAAUGAAAUAAAAAGUGAGGGAAUGAAAUUAUAUUACCUGCCUAAUUUGCCCACGUUAUUUUAGCAUCGUUCUCUUAUUCGUAGGAAACAUUAACACUUCCUAUUAAUUUUGCCACGGUUUUUAGAACUGUGGCUAAUAAACCGUAGCUAGAACUCAUUUUUUGGUAGUGAUGUAAGAGAGUUGCACUAAUUCGAGCUAAAUAGGUAGUCGAUCUAGAUUGACUCACGACUGGGCUGACUCUUACUUUAAAAUAAUUAAGGCAUAUGCCUUAGGUUCUUAAUUAGAGGUGUACAAAAUCGAACCAAAAACUGAAUCAAACCGCAAAUUGAGUCAAACCGGAAAAAAAACCCGACUAGUGGUUUGGUUUGAGUUGGUUUGGUAUUGGAAAAAAACAACCCGAUUAUAUUUGGGUUGGUUUGAUUUUAACUAAAAAAAACCAACCCGACAUUAUAUAUGCAAUUUUAAAAUUUUAUUUUAUACAUAAAAAUAUUUAUUUUGAUAUAAUUUUAAAAUAUUUCUUAUACUAUUUCAUAGUUUUUAUCUUUUAAUAUAUUAUUUCAAAUUUAAAACUUAGAAUUUGGAAUGGUCCAAUAGAGAUUAUAGUUGAUAGAUGUUAAUAAUUAUAAUAAAACUUAAAUCAAAAUCAAAUUAAUACUAAUGCAAAAAAUAAUCAAUUCAACACUAGAAUGACAAUAAUAUUGAAUAUUUGUUCUUUAGUUUUACAUUGGUUUAGACAAUUAAAUUACAUAAUCUAAUUUUAAUUUUACUUAAAUAUUCAGUAAUGUAACUAUUACUUAUUAAACUAAUUUUAGCAUGAUUUAGUACUUUUAAAUUAUGAUCAUUUUCAUUAUGACUUUGCAAUAUUUAUUUUAUAUGAUGAUUUCAUUAUUAUUUUUAUUGAAUAUUCGCAUCUCAUAUUUGUGUUAUUUUCUUAAGAAAUACCUUAGAUAAUUGUAUUUUGGUUGUACUAAAUAAAGAAAUAUUUGGAGCACAAGUUAAUUAUAUGUUUGUAUGCAAACUUUACCGAAAAAAAUCCAAAAAUCUGAAAAAAAUUCAAGGUUUAUUAGUUUGGUUUGAUUUAUAAAUUUAAAAAUUUGACACAAUGAUUUGGUUUGAUAUUUGGAAAACCCGAACGAACCCGAGGUUAAAAAACCCAAAAAAAUCUGAAUUUUAUUAGUUUGGUUUGGUUUAAAAAUUUAAAAAUUUUACAAAAAUGGUUUGGUUUGAUAUUUGAAAAACCCGAACCAACCCGGUCUUGUACACCCCUUCUCUUAAUUUUGGAGGGAUUAAUUUUUUACUAAGAAUAAAUGAUGUGCUAGUUUUUUUAUUUAUAGAAAAAUGAUAGUUAUUUUAUUCUCUUAACCCUAUAAAAAUAGAAGAAAUCAAGAAAAUGUUAACAUAACUACUAUAAAAACAACUUUUAGUGGAAAUGAAUAGAUCACAUUAAUAAAGAGUGCUAAAGUAUUUACCGGCAUUAGUUAAGUGUCAUUAGAUCCAAUGUCGCUAAAGACUUUAGGGACAUAUACAAAGAGUGCUAAUUGUCGCUAAAAAUACAUAUUUAGCGGCAAUUGAGCUAUUGCCGUUAGUUGCCACUAAAGAUCAUUUUUCAUGUAGUGUCCGUCCAACAAUAGUUAUCCAUUAUACUAUUUUGGAAUGUCAAACAAUACUUGUUCACUCUAUGAAAUCAAUGGAUAAUUUUACACUUAGUUACUAAUUUACCCUUAUCUUUAAUUAUAGUAAUUUUCUCUAUUACAUUUUUUAAGACACUAUAUUUAUUAUAUUCAAAGGGUGAUAUAGUAAAAUCAUCCUACUAUUUAUAGUUUCUUAAGAAGUGUACAAUGUCAGUAGUGGACAACUAUUAUUGGACAGGGAGAAUAAUAAUAUGUUUCAAACUUGUUUUACACAAAUUUAAAAAGCAUUUAUAUUUUUAAAAAAUAGGGUCUUUGGCUAGGGUGCUUCUCUGACUCAUAAUUAAUGGCAUACACAACAUUCAUAGCUAUGACAGUCUUCGGUCUUCCGCCCAAGUAACAUUUAGACUUACCAGGGUUGUGGUGCACUGGUAGGAGUGUUUCACCCUUAAUCAUAGGUCUUGGAUUCGAGCUUUGAGUAUAGAGAAAAUUUUGUUGAGAGCGUCACAUUCGAAUAGGCCCUGCAGAGCGCAAUCCAAAUUUAGUCGGAGGUGAAUUUCGAACAUCGAGUGAGAAAAAAAAACAUUUAGACUUAGUAAGAGUUGGAUGGACAGCUCGUUUCAUGGCCCAUAAUUUAGCUAUCUUAAACCCAAUUCAUUUCCUUCCGUCCAAGUAAUAUUUAGAUUGAAUCAUAAACUUAUUCAUUUAUCAUAUCAUUAUAAUUCAAUCCGUCCCCAUAUCUGACACCCACCCUUUAUUAUAUGGUUAAGCAUGAAAAUAUGUAUGGAUCACAAUUCACACAUAGAAACACAAAUUAAAUGUAUAUAUAGGAUAUGCAUGAUAAUUAAAGGAGAUGCAUAUUCGAACAUAGCUAGCUAGCUAGCUUGUUUUAUUCAUAACUCAUAAGCAUGCAUUAAUUAAAAUUACCUAGAGCCUGGAGACGCAUCCACUUUAAUUUAUUCCUUAACGAAGACAAUGGGAAGAGCUAGGGUUUUCACCGGAAGCCACGAGAGGAUAUAAUCCGUAAUCAAAAGUCAAGCUCACACAAUUAAGUUGAGGGGAAUCCGUACAAUACAUUAACUUGUAUGCAUUUUCCAAUUCUUGUUCCUCCGACGUCUCAUAUUUCAAAAUCAUUGUUUAGAGGCUUCAUAGACGGAUAGUUAUAGUUCUUUAGUCUUAUUCAUUUCAGAUAUUGUUUAAAAACUUGAGUUUGCCUUAUUGGCUAGUUGAAUGCUUUCUUAUUAACAUUCUUAAGUUAUAUGGGUUUAUCUCUGUUAAGUUAAACUGAGUAAGUAAGUCAGGCCAAGGAUUCGCUUGGGGUCAGCAAUGGUUAUCUAGUGCCAGUCCUGCCGCGUGACACAAACACAAAUUAAAUGUAUUGCAUAUGAUAAUUAAAGGACGUAUUCGAAGAUAGUAGCUUGUUUUAUUCAUAACUCAUAAGCAUACAUUAAUUAAAAUUACAUGGAGCGUGGAAACGCGAUUGAACGAUCCACAUUAAUUUAUUCCUUAAGGAAGACAACGGGAAGAGGGUUUUUACCGUCAGCCACCAGACGAUGUAAUCCAUUAUGAAAAGUCAAGCUGACAUGUUUACACAUUAUAAGUUGAGGGGGAUCCGGACAAUACAUUAACUUGUAUACAUUUUCCAAUUCUUGUACCUCAUGUUUCAUAAUCUUGAACAAGUAAUUGCUUUCAUUUCCUAUGGUACCACCAGUCACCACGAACUGAUCUUUAUCAUCACUAACUUUCCAAAUAGCUAGUUUCGUUAAAACACGGACUAGAUAGAUAUAUCAAGUGUUGAGAACAUGAUAUCAAUGUCAUCCGUUUCACGCACCACAUCAUCAUCAUUAUCAACCAUAAGAACGAAUUUCACGGGGGUGCCUUUUCCUAUCAAACCGGGAAUCGGUACGUGCUGCAACAUGGUGUUAGGGCAUUCAAGGUGUCCAAUAUUGGCCAAGUAUACGGAUCCGCCUCCAAUGAGAGGAUUAUGAAUAAUGUACUUUUCACCAAUGUACGUAGUGUGGUAGGCGGUCCAUGUCCAACACUUGAGGAGCUACAUCAUCAUCAUCAUCAUCAUUAAUAUUAUUAUUAUUAUGAGUAGUUGUGGGGAGGACAAUGGGAUUGUUGGAAGUGAAAGAUCGACAAAAGGCAACAAAGGGAAACAAAGAGAGUAAGAGGAAACUCAAAAUAUUAAUCAACUUCAUCUUUAAUUUGAGUGUGUUGUGUGUAUAUUUUGCUUACUCUAUCUCCAAUUUAUAGACCACCACAUGUAUGUAACAACAUUUUUGAGAAACAAAAAAUGCCUACCUUUUAGGUUAGGUUAGUGACAUGAUUUAUUAACUAGAUCUAAUUAUAAGUAGUAUAAAGACUUUCUAUUUUAACAAUGAAUUAAAAUAUAUAUAUAUAUUGUUAGAAAACAUAAGCAAUGUGGAGAAAUUUUCUGUGUAUUUCUUCAUGAAAAAAAUCACUGUGCAGCCUUCUAGUAUAUAUACAAAUUCUAUUCUAUCCUAAAUUGUGUGAACUAUGAAAUUAAUGCAAUAUGUAUUUACACUUGUCAUUUCAUUAUUGGUCUUCUUCUAACAAACUCCAAACGGCUGUCAUGUGCCAUACAUGUGCUAUGGUUGAGAAAUAUCUAGAAUUAUACAUUUGUACCAUACAGCUGGAUGGCUCUGAUUAAUUUGAUUCAAUAAGAGAUCUUUGCCCCUGAUGUUGCCACGCGUCCUUUAGACCUUUUUGUAUGCCUAUGUUGUUUUUGUCCGAAACUAGGAGAACUUUGAACAUUGUUUCCUUUCAUCAUCUCCUUAUUUUUACUUUUUCUGUAAACUCACCAUGGCCAUAAUCAUGAUGUUCUUGAUUAUCGACACCCCUUCAAGGUGAAGGGAAAGAAACGACACCCAACUUGGAAAGAAUCGAGAAGUGUGAAGGACCAGAGAGAGCCUUUGUGAACAGAUUAGCCAACUGAGCAGAGGAUGGAACAAAAGAUAGAGAGAUCAACCCGGAAAGGAAUUGUUGUCUCACGAAGUGGCAAUCAACCUCAACAUGCUUGGUUCGUUCGUGAAACAUCGAAUUUUUUGCAAUAUAAAUAGCAGCUUGGCUGUCAGAGUGAAGAGGCACAUGCAAUGAUGGAUAAAUGGAUAGAUCUACAAGAAGUCAGGUUAACCAGGUAAGUACCGCAAUAACUCUCCUCAUAGACCUGUAUUCUAAUUCAGCGGAAGAUAGUGAAAUAAAGGCUUGUUUCUUGGACUUCCAAGAAACUGGUGAGCCACCAAGGCUAAUAAAGAAACCACUAAUAGAUCUCCGACUAUCUCGACAAGAUGCCCAGUCAGCAUCACAUAAAGCAAUCAGGAAAAAUGAUGAUGUAGGAUUGAAGAACUGACCUUGGUCUGGAUUGAGUCGUAGAUAUCUCAACACUCGAAGUGCAGUAUCAAAAUGGCCCUGACACGGCUGUUGCAUAAAUUGACUAAGAGUGAUGACUAAGAAUGAAAGGUCUGGCCGUGUAUGUGUGAGAUAGUUCAAUUUAUCCACUAAUCUCCUGUAAAUGGAAGGAUCUGCAAGUAAAGGACAUGAUGAACUAGUGAGCUUAGAACAAGGGUCAAGUGGAGAGGAGACUGUAGGUAGAGAUGUGCAAUCAAAUUCUUGUAACAAAUCUAGUGUGAAUUUUCGCUAACCAAUAAUACAACCAUGUUCUCCUCUUAAAAUUUCCAUGCCAAGAAAAUAAUGAAGCUCCCCUAAGUCCUUGAUUUGGAAUUUAGAGUUGAGAAAAUCCUUCAUAGUGGCAGUUUCAAUAGGAUCAUCCCCGGUAAUCAAAAUAUCAUUAACGUAGACAACAAUAAUUGAAAUCAGAUCCCCUGUUUUGUUGAAAAACAAAGAAUAGUCAUUAAGAGAUAUUGUAUAUCCUUUAAAAGUCAGGGCUCCUGCAAGCUUGACAUGCCAUUGCCUUGAAGCUUGUUUGAGCCCAUAUAGUGACUUUUGAAGCUGGCAAACAUGAUUGGGACUGGGUGAUGCCAUUCCUGAAGGAAACUUCAUGUAGACUUCCUCUUGAAGGUCGCCAUGAAGAAAAGCAUUAUUAACAUCAAAUUGUGAAAUAGACCAACCUUUCUUGACUGCAAUGGCAAUGAGACACCUAAUGGUUGUCAUUUUGACAACUGGGGAAAAAGUCUCAGUGUAGUCUAUGCCUUUCCUUUGUAUGUCAUCUCUUUUCACAUGUCGUGCCUUAUAUCUUUCAAUUAAUCCAUCAGAAUGUUAUUUAAUUUUGUAUACCCAUUUGCAAGGUAAAGCCUUCUUGCCAGUAGGUAACAACAUGACCUUUCAUGUAUUGUUUUCUUCCAAAGCUAUAAUCUCUUUUUGCAUUGCAAACUGCCAAUUAGGAUCCAAACUAGCUUGUUUGAAACUAGUAGGUUCUGAGUAAGCACUAAUAGAACCAAGGAGAUAUUGAUUCUGUAAGGAUAAAGCUCCAAAAGAAAAAGUAGAUGAGUGCACAGGUUGUGCUAAACAAGUGUCUGAAAUGUUAGUGAGAAACACAUGAUUAUAGACAAAAUCAUUUAGAUAUGCAAGCCUCUUACUUUCCCUGUUAGAUUUUCGGAUAAUAGGUGUGGAAGGGGGUGGAGAUACAAGGAGAAAAGAAGGGGAAAAUGAAGCAUAUGAUUGAGGAGAUGUGCUAGAGGAGGAUGAAGGAAUAUGGAGGGUUGCAGAGUCAAUAGAGGAGUCAGGAGUGAAGGAAGAAAUAGGAAAAAUUGGCUCAGAAUCUGAUUGAAGAUUUGAGAAAGGGCAAAUGUGCUCACAAAAUUGAACAUCUCUAGAUAUAAAGAUCAUUUUAAAUGAUAUGUCAGGAAGUUAGUAUCCUUUUUGGCCCUGUGGGUAGCCCAAAAAUACACAAGCAAUAGCCCUGGGAUCAAACUUGUUUCGAUUACUGCGCAAAGUAGAGGCAUAACAUAGACAACCAAAAGCUUGCAAAAACUUAUAAUCAGGACAUUUCUGAAAAAGAAUCUCAUAAGGGGUUUUCCCAUGAAGUACUCUGGAAGGAAUUUGAUUAAUAAGAAAAGUAGCAGUCAAUAAACAAUCCCCCCCCCCCAGUAGCAUUUAGGAAGUUUGAAUUGAAAAAGUAAAGACUUUGCAAUUUCUAAUAAAUGUCUAUGUUUCCUCUCAACAACCCCAUUUUGUUGAAGUGUAGCAACACAAGAUGUUUGAUGAAUGAUCCCUUUUGACCUCAAAAAUUUUGCUUCAUGUACCCCUUUCCCCAAUUCUAGAGCGUUAUCGGAUCGAAGCUUUUUCACCUUAAGGUCAAAUUGUCUCUCAACCAUGGAUAAAAAAUGUUUCAAAACGGAGAAAGCAUUAAUCUUAGUAGUUAAUAAGUAUGUCCAAGUACCCCUACUAAAAUCAUCAACAAAAGUAAGAAAAUACUUAUAUCCAUGGUAAGUAAGAACUUUGAAAGGUCCCCAAGUGUCCAUAUGAACCAGUUCAAACACCCUUUUAGAAGAAACAUGACUAAUGGAAAAGGGUAAUCUGGUUUGUCUAGCAAGGGGACAUAUGUCACACACACAAGAAUAAUUAGAAGGAAAAGAAAUGAAACUGAAAUUUUUUAUAGCUGAAUAAGGCAAAUCGCCUAGUCUGGCAUGCCAAAGAGCUACAUCAGAAACAACACUAGCAGAAAAAGAAAAACAAAGAUGGACAUUUUUGGAAUCACUUCCUUCUAGUAAAGAAACUACAUUACAUAGAGAUUGAAUACUAGUACUAGAAAUGACAGAUUCUAAAAGAUAAAAAUCCUCUUUAGCUUCACCAAAAUCUUGUUUCAUCUUCAUUGAACGGUCCUGCAUGACACACUUUUCAGGAUUAAAUAAGAGAAAACAACCAAAUUGACUACAGAACCUAUGAACAGACAACAAACUAUAUCUGAAAGAAGGAACAAAAAGAACAUUUUGUAGAACAAGAGUAGGAAAAAUGGCUAUGUUGCCAGUGUGUGUGACCUUAAUCCUGUAAGAAUUAGGUAAAUUUAUAGUGACAGGUGCUGGAUGAGGGACAAGAUUGAGAAAGGAAGUAGGUUCAUAACAUAUGUCUUCAGAAGCCCCUGAGUCUAUGAUCCAAGUCUAAGAGUUAAAAACAGAGAAACAAGAAGUAGAAUAUUAAGUAAUAGUACCAGCCACAACAUUUGCAUUAAUCUCUGAGCUAGUACCAGCUCUAGAAGUGGUCUGUCCUUGUUUGAAAAUCUGUUUCAUAUGUGAAAUUUGACUCUUACUCAGGGAUUGCAGGAAAUGCUCAUCAGAAUCUUCAUAUCCAAUAGGUGAAUGCCCAUAACUAUCCUUAAUAAGUUCUCUAUUCCCAUUGAUAGGUGUUUGAAAUCCUUUAGUGAACUGAAAAUCUUCUUGGUACCCCAUCAAUCUAUAACAGUCAUCUUCUACAUGCCCAGUCUUUAGACAAUGAGUACAACUCACAUUAGGAUUGUAUUUCUUCCUUCUUACUUUUCUUGGAUUCUAAGGUGUAAAAUUCCUUUGAGGAUUUGCUGAAGGCCUUUGUCCCUGAGAUUGCCCACCAGAAUGUUGAAAUCAUCCUCCAGACCUUUGUGAAGACUGACCUGGGUGACCAGGCUUCUGCAUUUGGUUUCCAAGUUUCAUUUGGGAGUUGAAAUUCUUAGCCAUAAAUGAAGAGUUGUUAGGGGAAAAUUGUGGAUUAAUAUAAACUUCUCUCUGAUUGUCAUCCUGAAGCAAGAGAGAGUAAGCAUGGUUGAUUCCUGGCAAAGGAUUCAACAUGAGAAUAUUACCCCUUGCUUGAGCAUAAAGAUCAUUCAACCCCAUAAGAAAUUGAAUUAGCCGCUAAUCUUCAACAAAUUUAGUCAUCUUUUGCUUCCCUGUACACACACAAGGACAUGUACAACCAACAUGAGAGUUGAGAGAAUCCAACUCAUCCCACAGCCUUUUUAAUUUAGUGAAAUACCCUGCUAUAUCAUUGGAUCCUUGCACUAACCCAGUCAUUUCUUUUUGCAUGUGGUAUAAUUUAGCACCAUUCGACUAGCCAAAUCUCUGUUCUACAUCUGUCCAGAGGUCCUUGGCAGUCCUGGAGUAGAUGACAGAGUGAGCUAUAUCCAUGGAUAACGAGUUAAGUAGCCAAGAAGUUACCAUGGCAUUGCAUCUAUACCAAGAAGAAAAAGUGGGUGUUGUGUUCAAAGGCUCUACACAACUACCUUCAAUAAAACUCAGUUUGUUCUUAGCUGACAAAGCAAUUAGGGCAGAUCUCCUCCAUCCCUGGUAACCCCUCACAUCGAAGGUGCUAUUAACAAGAUUCAUACCUGGUACAUCUGAAGCAUGAAGAAAAGAGGAUUACUAAAAUAAAAAAUACUCCCUAUUGCUGUUUGACCUACAGCAAAUAGGAGCUAUAGCAGUAGGAAUGACCCAUUCUGUAUCCAUUAUUUAAAAAGGGGGGAUGAACACAGAAAUUUGUAUAAGAGCAAAAAAUUGUGGAUCUUAAUGCUCUAUACCAUGUUAGAAAACAUAAGCGAUGUGGAGAAAUUUUUUGUGUAUUUCUUCAUGAAAAAAUCACUGUACAUCCUUCUAGUAUAUAUACAAAUUCUAUUCUAUCCUAAAUUGUGUGAACUAUGAAAUUAAUGCAAUAUGUAUUUACACUUGUCAUUUCAUCAUUGGUCUUCUUCUAACAAACUCCAAAUGGUUGUCAUGUGCCAUACGUGUGCUAUGGUUGAGAAAUAUCUAGAAUUGUACAGUUGUACCAUACAGCUGGAUGGCUCUGAUUAAUUUGAUUCAAUAAGAGAUCUUUGCCCCUGAUGUUGCCACGCGUCCUUUGGACCUUUUGUAUGCCUAUGUUGAUUUUGUCCGAAACUAGGAGAACUUUGAACAUUGUUUCCUUUCAUCUCCUUCUUUUCUUUUUCUGUAAAAUCACCAUGGCCAUAAUCAUGAUGUUCUUGAUUCUCAACAUAUAUAUAUAUAUAUAUAUAUAUAGUAUAGCUAAAAGAUUUUGUUUUCAAAUAAUUUAUUAUGAUUAAAAAUUAAUUACUAUUGUUACACUAACUUUUAUUGCGUGACUAAAAUUUCCAAUAGGUCAUAGACUCAUAGACUAUAGUUGUGUGAAAGUCGCGACAGACAACUGUAUAUUCAGUUUUUAUUAUUUUCCUUGUUUUUUCUUGUAAAUUCUUAACUCAACCUAAAAAUGAAAAAUUAAAUAUUUCAUUGCAAAUCUAUAUAAAGUUCCCAGUUUUAUUUUCUCAACUUUUAUUGUAGUAAAGAAGUUGAGAAAUUAGCUUUGUUAUUUUAAUUUCUGUAGCUAAGAUAUUUUAUGAAUUUGGACCACAUAUUAAAUAUGAAUUUAAUUUUUUUAGCUAAGAAAAUUCAUAUAUAAAUAUUUACAGCCUAAUUUGGACACAGUUAUUCAGAGUAGCUCGUACAAAAACAUUGGAAUGUCUCUUUCGGAAUAUUGUAAUUAUGGCUCCAUGGACCACUUAAUAUCACAUAAAAUAAAUCAAUUGAAAUAGAUUCUAGUUUAUAUUUUUUAACUUACAAGUGAUAAGCCAAAAAUUAAGCUAAACACACCCUUUGUCUCUUAUUUUUCUUUUUUAAUUUGUCUAAAAACAAAUUAUUUUAUAUUUAAAUAUAAUUUAACUUUUAAAUUCUCAUAUAUAUUUAAUGAGAUAAUUUAUAAUGACAUAAAUAUUUAAUAUAAUAAUUUUGUACCAAAAAUUUCAUGAAUGAUCACCUAAAACACACCACCUACCGGAACUAAGACAUCCACACACGCAGUGGCGGAUGUAGAGUGUGUCCAGGGGGGUCAUCCGACCCCCCUCGAAAAAAAAUUACACUAUAUAUAUAAGAUUAAUUUUUUGUGUACGUGUAUAUAUUUAAAAUUGAACCCCCUGAGCAUAUGUCAAAGGAGUAGCUCAAUGGUUUAUGGGGUUCAGGAUUUCGCCUAUGUUUUAUUUGAACCCCCUCGAUAGAAUUCCUGCCUCCGCCACUGCACACACGAUAAAUAUAUAAAACUGGUAGAAUACCGACGUGGUAUAAUUCAAUCAAUCCACGUACAAAAUUUUAACCAGGGAGAUGUUUGGAUACUGUAGUGGAACAUCAAAAUAUAAUGCAAAUUAUUUUGUGGAUAUCUGAACUAAAACUAUGAUAUGGAUCAUUCUUUGAAAUUUGAUCACAUAUAAUCUAAUCUCGAUAAUUUGUCAGAAUUGGUUAUAAAUUUUUGAUAGAUUAUUAUAAUUUAUUGUGUGAAAAUUUCACCAGUAUGAUCAUGCUUCAACGUAAAUCUUCAAAAAUAAAUAGAUUUACUUUAUCUUUGAUCCUCAACAUUUAAAGCUCAUUAAAAUCAAACAAUGAUGCUCUUCAAUUUCUUCAACCAAUUGAAACCAAAUAAUGAGAAGGUGGAGAGGAAGACUCUAAAAAAUCGCCAGGAAUUUGAUCAUAAUCUUGACAAGUUGCUGGAAUUUGUUUGGUCCUUCGUUUCGUUGACACAAAGUUUAAAAAUAAAAAGAAAAUGUUUGAAUUUGUUGAUCUAAAAAAAUAUGUCGAAUGUAUUAAAAUGCCCUUUAAUCUUUGUUGUUUUAAACAUGUCACAUGGAAAAUUUUAAUUAAGGAUUUGUUGGAAAGGGUAAUUUUUUAAUAGACUAAAACAAAAAGUAGGUCAAACAAAUUAAAAUCGAGGAAAUAUAAAAUUUUGAUGGAUUGUUAUAAUUUGUUGUGUAAAAAUUUAACCAAUACAUUUUUUGUUUCAAAAUCGGUCCGAAUCAACUUCUAAUUACUCCAAAUUUGAUAUACAACCUUCUCAUAUAAAUCACAACAAAUUUUCAAUUAUUAGAUUCUUUGUAAACCUUCAAAAAUAAAUAGAUACCGUUGAUCUUCCACAAUUUUUCUUAAGCUCAAUAAGAUCCAACAAUUUUUUCAACCAAAUGAAACCAAAUCAUUAAGGAUAACAAUAUAAAUUCAAUGGAACAUUACAUAUAUAAUUCCAAUCACAAAUUAAUAAGCAACGAGAAGGAGAAGAAGAGAAAUAGGAGUUUCCUUGCAUUUCAUGAAGUUUGGGUGAGUUAUUUUGAUUCAAUUAAUUUAGUCUUUCUAAAAGUUGGAAUUAUUCGAGUUAAAUAUAUAAUCUAGAUUGACUUAUAAAUUUUUCCGUACCGAACACACCCUUUGUCUCUUAUUUUUCUUUUAAUUUGACUAUAAACUUAUAUUUUAUAUUUAAAUAUAAUUAAAUUUUAAAAUUUUCAUAUAUCUAUAAUGAGAUAAUUUAUAAUCACAUAAUUAUCUAAAUUUAUUAUUUCUGCACCAUAAAUUUAAAAAAUAUUACUCAAUUUUUUUUAUGUGUAAUCAACUACGAUAUAAAUUAUGACGAAAGGGGUAGCUUUUUAAACUCAAGCAUUUAUGGACCACAAUAUGCAAUGGUCGCCUAACAACAACACCUAUCUGAAUUAAGAUGUCUACAUAUUUAUUUAUUUGUAUUGUUAAGCAAUGACUCUUAGUUUUGAUGUUUUAGAUAGAAAAAUUGUAAACAUUUUGAAUUGGAUGUGAAUUAUUAAUUUCAUACUCAAAUUAUUGAUAGCCUUAAAAAUAUUCAUCUACUUAACUAACUGAACCUAAAAACACCCUUUCAUCCUAUAAACAUACAUGUACGCGUACGUACAUUGGAGCCUCGAUUAAAUCUGGAUCGCCCACCGUAGGGCCAUUUGGGGAUAGCGCUCCCAACAAAAAUUUCUCCAUAUCCAGAGCUCGAACCCAAGAUCUCUGAUUAAGGGUGAAACAGUCUCACCACUGUACCACAACCCAUGUUGGUGGUAGGUUGGGUGAAUUAAUGAGCCCUUAUGUUAAUUUAGUUUAUUUUGAUCUAUUUUAUUUAAAAUUUAGCAAGGAUCGAACAAAUUACCUUUCUAAAUUAUGCAAAAAUUAAUACAAAAAAAUCAAUCACUAUGUUUCUAUUUUUAAAAUAAAAUAAAAUUAUACCACUAAACAAAGUGUCUAUCAAUUUUUUAUUAAAAUAAAAAACUUCAAUAGACAAGUAUUGCCUUUGCCCUUAAUUUGCUAUUAUAAUAUUGUUACCGGAGAAGAUGCAGAUAAGAAAAUUUAUUCCGGCGACCUUAGAGCCCUUACAAAAAGUAGCCAUUGUUUUUAGGGAAAAUUGUAUAUAAUAGCAAACUAUUAAUUCAAAUUAAAUGCUAUAAAUAUACUUUGAUUUAAUUGUACCCUAUAGCAAAUUAUUGCUAUUUUCGCCACUCUCCCUGGUGGAAUCUCGCUCGCCACUCUCGUUUGGCAGUAGUCUUGCUCGCCUCUUUCGCUUUUAUACAAAUACAAAUAUAUAAAAUGUGUUUGUGUUUUAUAAAGCGAGAGAAAAUUGUAUAUAUACAUAUAUUUUUGUUCCCCUCUCUCAGAUCUCGCUUGCCACUCUCCCAAAUCUCGCUCGCCACCCUCGCCUCUCUCGCUUAUACAAACAGAAACGAAAUGUAUAAAUUGCGCUUCUAUUUAUAUAAAGCGAGAGAAAAUUGUAUAUACACAUGCAAUUACAUAUAUCUUCGUCCUAUACACUUAUAAUUAUACAAUACAAAUAUUUCCCUGCCCAGUUUUCUUUUGCCUUUUUCUCUUUCUCGUUUUAUACAUACACAGAUUAUACAAUUGAUCUUUUGUAUACAACUGCUUUCUUUUGUAUAUGUAUAGCGAAUUAUACAACUGCCUUCUUUGUAUAUGUAUAACAAAUUAUACAACUGUUUUUUUGUAUAUGUAUAGCGAAUUAUACAUUUAUAUGUUUGCUAUGGAGCGAAAUUAUGCAAACUUUGCUAUAACAUACAAAUAUGAAUUUUAUGUUUCCUACGUGAAAGUUGCUCUUGUUUUUAUGGAUAAAUCUAUCUCUAUUUUGCUUGCUAUUAAUGAUUAGUCUAUCUCCAAUUUAUACAGCUGCUAAGGGCAUUUUUGACAAACAAAAAAUAGCUACCGACCGCCACCUUUUAGGUUAGUGACAUUAUUUCAUUUAUAAAUUAUAAUGAUUUAAAGAAAAUAAGUACUCUAGUAUAAAGCAUGUAUUUGGCUUAAUUAAUUCUCUUAAAAUUAUCCCCUUAAUUUAUCUAGACAUUUAAAUUCAGACUUGUACCUAUUGAACACUUCUAUUCUUUUAAAUUUGAGCCAUUCUAACAUUUUUUUAACAAUCAACUAAAAAUAUAAGAAAGAGUGAAAUGUACUAGCGGUGACAUGACAAUUUGACAAAUUAAAUAAGUAAAAUUUACAUAAAUCUCAUAGUGUUAAGAACUAAUUAUAUCAUAUCUCUACUCUUUUUCAAAUUACAAAAAUCAUUUAAAUUUAUAGGAUCUUGGAUAUAUUUGAAAAUAUGUAAAUACAUAGUUCAUGGAUUGCGAAUGAUACAUUACUUAAUGGAAGGGAUGUAUUCGAAGGGGAGGGAUGUAUUCGAGAGGGGAUAGGAUGUAUAUGAGAGGGGAUUGAUAUUAGUAAAAAAGUUGAAAAAUUUACAUUGUCAAUUUAAUUUUUGUAGUUAGUACUAGAUAUUAGCCAUGACUAGCUUUUAAAUUCAUAGCUAAAAUUUCCUAAUUUAAUGUCUGAUUUAAAAGUAAAAAUUUAAAAUAAGCCAAUUCAAACAAAAUCUGUACUUACCAAAAAAAAAAAAAUCCAAGCAUUCCAUUCUAGGCGAUAAGAAAAAGGGAACAAGAACACUAUGUCUGCGACUGAUCAACAACAAUUCAGUAAGCCACACGUCCAAACACUAAAGGCAUACUCAAAAACAUAGGAAAAAGUACUUAUAGAGGUUUCUAACAUUAUUCAAUUUGGAGGGCUUGUUUAUGGAUUCUAUUGUGAUUAUUCUACUGUGUUGUAUUAGUCUCCUUGGAUGUUCAUUUUGCUAGAAUAAUCUGAAAGCCACUCGCCUUAAUAUAUUAACAACCACACGCCUUCGCCUUUGUGUAAUAGCCAGACACCUUAAUGUAAGCCAGAGAUCACAAACACAAAACGAUACAUUUAUGAAUCUCAAAUCACUUGGAAAUCACAUGUAAUACCUAAAUAUUGAUUAGUUCUUCAAGUGUAUUUUCUGUUUUUUCUUCCGGUUAAUGUGUAAAUGUAAUGAACAUAACGAAAAAUAAACUAUAGGGUUAAAUUAUCAACGACAAUGGGUAAUAAAACACGAUAGAAACAGAGGAGUGGAGGGGAGCGACGAACCAACCUGAAAGUUUCUUUGUUCUUGGACGUAGUUGCUGCGAUUCAAUUAUAGAUGCUGGAACCACACGCCUUAAUAUAACCUUAAUAUAUAUUAACAGAGGAAUCGAUAAUCAAUUACAUUCAAAAUAGUAGCAGCCAGAGAUCACAAACAUAAAAAUGAUACUUUUAGGAAUCUCAAAUAACUUGGAAAUCACAGAUAAUACCUAAAUAUUGAUCAGUUUAUCAAGUGUAUUUUUUGUUUUUCUUCCAAUUAAUGCAUAAAUAUAAUGAACAUAAUGGAAAAUAGGUUAAGUUCUCAACGACAGAGCAACAGGGGUAAUAAAACAUGAUAGAAAUAGAGGAGUGGAAGAGCGACGAACCAACCUGAAAGUUUCGUUGUUCUUGGAUGUAGUUACUGCGAUUGAAUUAUAGCUGCUGGAAGUAGUUCUUCGAUUCAAUAUAUGUUGCUGGAAGGUCUCUGCUGCUAACGAAUGAAUAUAUGUUGCUUGACGUUGCAGCUCUAAUCGAUUUAGGAUGAUGAAUCCUAAUGUGUGUGGAAGAUCUUUUUAGGAAUACUUUCCUUAUUAGAAGCAUAUAGAGGGUUUUUUUGUUACUAAUGUUUUCCUUAUUGACCAGGAGUUCUUUUUUUCCAGAAAUAAGAGAAUCGCGGGAAAAAAUAUUAAAGGGAAAGCAGGAGUUCUAAUUUUCAGAAAAAGAAGAAGAAGAAGGCUUUUAGUGACUAUUUUUAGAAUUGCUUCUAAAAGUGUACAUAUUGCAUUAAACAUUAGCCGUUAAUAUUUUGCCUCACAUGAAUAUAUUAGCGGCAAUUUGCUUAUUGCCGCAAACCAAUUGUCGCUAAAGUUCAUUUUUGUAGUAGUGUAUUUUUCAACACAUUGAGUUGCUAUCUACAGUUUUACAGCUUUCCAUAUAUUGCAUCUUUUAUUGUUGCUUUAUUCUUGAGUAUCUUGAGUUGAACUGUGCUUCAUCGAGUCGAGUACAUUAUUGUUGAGUUGAGCCUUAUUUCACUGAGUUGAAUAUCUUAUCCCUUGAGUUGAGUAUCAUAUUCUUGAGUUGAGUCGAGUAAGUGAGUUGAGAAGAGGGAAGUAUGUUUCAUUUUUAUUAAGUUCAAGCUUGUGUUUAUGCUUUAGAAUUUCCCUUACAUGCUCGUACAUUUCACGUACUAAGCCAUUUGGCCUGCAUCCUUUCAUGAUGCAGACACAUUUAUAUUCAGGGUCAUCAACAGUGUCACAACCCGAGCCUACACCCUGGACGUGGCCGGCACUCGAGAACCAUUGCUGGUCCCCAAACAAACUCUCAUCCUGGCUGACUACAAGCGAAAAACUGAUUCAAGCAUACAAAGCUUAAAAACUGAAUAAAAUCAAUAACUCAAAUACAAAGCUUUAACUCAAAAUAAAACUCUGAAUAAAAAUAAGAUAUUCAACUCGCCAAAAAAUAGGCAACUUAAGUCUUUAAAAUAUUUAAUAAAAUAAAUGAAUAAUACAGACUUCUCAACUAUACUGACUAUCUAUGAAGCCUCUAACUGAUAAAAAUGGAAGUCGGGACAAGACCCACGACAUCCUGACUAAACUGAAAAGUAAAUGAAAUUCUCCGAAAACAAUGAGGCUCACCAUAGAUAACUCGAACUCCUGGAUGUAUCAACGAAUCUUCUGUUGAUGAUCCUGAAUACCUGUGUCUGCAUCAUGAGAAGAUGCAGGCCAAAUGGCUCAGUAUGUGGAAUGUACGAGCAUGUAAGGGGUAUUCUAAAACAUAAACAUAAGCUUGAAACUUGAUAAAAAGGAAACAUACUUACCUCUUCUCAAACUUACUCAACUCAAGGUAUACUCAAGGAUACUCAAAACUACUCAACUUACUCAAUUCAUAAGUAUUCAAGGAUAAGAUACUCAACUCAGAGAUUAGAUACUCAACUCAAAGAUAUGAUAUUUGACUCAGGUACUCAACUCAAUAUAAAACAACAAUACACAUGCAAUAUAUGGAAAACUUUAUAAAAACAGUAAAACAACUUAGUUCGUUAAAGAAAAUGCAAUAACAAACUCAAUUUUACUUAUAUAAUAAAGAAAUAUAGUUUAUGUGGGAGUUUCUCUAACUGACAACUAUCACUUUAAGAGCUAUAGUGAUGAUACAACACUUUUACCUCACGCUGCCAAGGACCAUUCUAUACCUUGCCAUCAGUAUAGGGACCUAACUUAACUUAGUGGAUCCACUAGUCUAUGCGAAAAGGAUUCAUCUAAAAAGUAUUACCCUUUUCUACCUAUGAUGGCUACAUGGUUUUCAUCAAGACUUGAGUUAAUAGGAAACUCGCAUCCCCAUAUCGGUGCUCAAUACUACUCUCACAAUAUAACUAGCUCAUAUGUUUAGAAACAUAACUCUUUCUGUGUUUUGAGAUUAUUACUCAAANNNNNNNNNNNNNNNNNNNNNNNNNNNNNNNNNNNNNNNNNNNNNNNNNNNNNNNNNNNNNNNNNNNNNNNNNNNNNNNNNNNNNNNNNNNNNNNNNNNNNNNNNNNNNNNNNNNNNNNNNNNNNNNNNNNNNNNNNNNNNNNNNNNNNNNNNNNNNNNNNNNNNNNNNNNNNNNNNNNNNNNNNNNNNNNNNNNNNNNNNNNNNNNNNNNNNNNNNNNNNNNNNNNNNNNNNNNNNNNNNNNNNNNNNNNNNNNNNNNNNNNNNNNNNNNNNNNNNNNNNNNNNNNNNNNNNNNNNNNNNNNNNNNNNNNNNNNNNNNNNNNNNNNNNNNNNNNNNNNNNNNNNNNNNNNNNNNNNNNNNNNNNNNNNNNNNNNNNNNNNNNNNNNNNNNNNNNNNNNNNNNNNNNNNNNNNNNNNNNNNNNNNNNNNNNNNNNNNNNNNNNNNNNNNNNNNNNNNNNNNNNNNNNNNNNNNNNNNNNNNNNNNNNNNNNNNNNNNNNNNNNNNNNNNNNNNNNNNNNNNNNNNNNNNUUCAUGGGUAAUAGGUAAUAGUCCCAUGAUUAGGAUUAUAAUCUCGGAAGGGUUAGAAACUCAAUACUUAAGACUUAGGACAUGGGGACAUUAAUCCUCUCAUAGAUACUAAACUUAUGGAGUUCAUGCGGAAUUUAUGGGCAUGAACGACUUGACUCGUAGGUCUACANNNNNNNNNNNNNNNNNNNGUAUACAACUCUUCUCAUUCUCAUACUUACUUUCUCAAAAUUUAGUUCAAAUCAAUAGUUGAUCUCAAAUGGUUCACAACCGAACUCAAAGGCUUUCUUGAACUCUACUCUUAACUCGAUCUCUUAAAUGUGAAUUAUGAAUUCAAGAGUUAUGGUUCAUGCUAUGAAAGAUUUCAUGAUGACAAAGUAUACUCAUGAAUACAUUCUCCUCACUCUCAUGCUCACUUACUCGAAUCUUGAAACAAGUUACUAGAAGUUGUAGAAGACUCCACAAAAGGACUCAAAGGGACUUUCUUAGAAUGUUUUAAAAAAAUCUCAAAACUUAACUCUUAGCUCUACCUUGAAUUUGAAUUAUGAAUUCAAGGUUAUGAUCAUGUUAUGAAUGAUUUCUAGGUGUGUAGAAGUAGUUUAAAGUGUUUAGAAUCAAAGGGGAGUAAAGGUACCCUUUGAAAUAACUCAAACGGACGAAACGAUGGACAACGGGUGGGGGCAGGCGACCCUGGUGCUCUGAGUGGCGUGGGGUGCCAGCCCCUAAAGUUCAGAGAGGUGGUUGGGGCGCUCUGCUUGGCGUGACACGCCAGGCCCCAACCCAUAAAACUUUGACGACUUUCCAUGCUCGUUUUCUCACCCUAACUCGCCUAAAAUUGAACGAUUUCCUCCCCAAACACUUGGAUUUGAUUACUUAACAUUAUUACACUCUCAUAUACUCAAAAAAACACUCAAAUUACUAAAUUUCAUCUGAAGAAAUCAUCAAAACCCCAACACAACAAUAUUUAGAAUGAACUUUAAGAACACUUAUCAAGAACUCAUCAAAAACUCUAAUCUGUCAACUUUAAGAAUGAAAUUUGCGCUGAAAAUAACAUGAUUGGCAUGUGGGUGAACUAACCCAACACUAUGGAAGCUUACAUACCUCUUAGGGAUCAAACCCAUGGCGAAAAUCCGCUACAACACGCAAGAAUCUCGACGAACGCUUGAUCCUCUCCUCUUUUCUCCUCUUCUCUCUUCUUUUCUCUUCUUGAACUCUCAACUAAAAUCCUAGGCUAAUUUUAGGAUUAUAAAACUGAACCUAAUAGGAUUAGACCCUUAAAAUAUUACUAAAAAUGAAUUAAAUCAGAGUUGGUAAGGAAAAGACCAAAAUACCCUUCUCUAUUUUCGGCUAACUUUCCUUAACUAAAUAGCCUAUCUUCAAAAGGUCAUAUCUCACUCAUCCGACCUCAAAACUUAGCAAACUCGGCUGUGUUGGAAAGAUAAUUCAAAGAUCUUUCCUACGGUAUCUAGUUGAACACAUAAAUCAUCCUGAGAUAGGAGUUAUGAUCGUUUGAAGUCGACCCAAAACUCAUACUUAGCUUAACUUGCAAAAUUUCAGAUUUUUCUAUUUCCAAUUUAAUUCUUUUUGGAACUCAAGGUGCUACAUCUAGUGACCUUAACACUUAAGAAAUUUUAAUUCCUCGGUAAAAUCCUACUCACAACGAAGGAUGGUUUCAAGUCUCAGUUCGAAAAAAAUUCUGGGGUAUUACAAUAUCUCCCCCUUGGGAUCAUUCGUCCUCGAAUAACGACUGGACUGUGUAUGGAAUGGGUUACUCUUACUAAGGUCUGCGUCUAAUGCUAGGCAUUUGCAUUUGGUUUAAUUGAUAUGAGCCGACUGUUAGCUUAGGAAUUUCCCUCCAGUCAUGAUACAUAUGAGCUUCGUUAGAAUUAACGUGUUUAGCUAAUGCAUCUGCAAUUUGAUUAACUUCUCUAUGACAAUGAUUUACUUCAAAAUUCAUCUUCGCAACAACUUGUAAGAUGUCUUCCACAACACCUUUGAUCUUCAAUUGACGCUUGUCCAUUCCUUACCAUAUCAACCACCAUUUUUUAGUCUAAUUCAAGAUAGCAAUCGUGAAAUCCUUGUUGUGGAUGAUGAUAUCUAAAUAUAGAUACCCUUAAUUACAUCAAGCACGUUGCCAUAAAAUAAACAUAAAGUAAGUAUUGUACACCAAAUAAAAAAAUAUUCAGCGCAAGUAGAAUCCAAAAUGGCUUAUUUUGGCUUGACACGGAGUUUAAAAAAAUAUUUGAAUCAUGUGAUCUAAAAAAAAGAUAUGUCGAAUCAUGAAUGUAUCAAAAUGACCUUUUAAUUUUGUGGUCUUAAAAUGUCAUGUAGAAAGUUGAAAUUAAAGAAUUGCUAAAAAGGAAAAAGGUCAUGUUUAUUUUAAAUGAAUUAAAAAAGAAAAUAGCUCAAAUAAAUUGAAACAUAGAGAAUAUAAAAUUUUGACGGAUUGUUGUAAUUUGUUGUGUAAAAAUUUAACCAAUACGUUUUUUGUUUCCAAGUUGGUCCAAAAUCCAAAUCAACUUCGAAUUGCUCCGAAAUUUGAUAUGCAACCUUCUCAUAUAAAUCACAACAACUCUUCAAUUAUUAGAUUCAAUCUAAAUCUUCAAAAAUACAUAAAUGUCUUCAAUAUUCAACAAAACAAAUUGUUAGAGUUAUCUUAUCAAUAAUAUAAUUCAUUACUAUUUAGUAUCUAAACUCUUAGCUCGUCUCAUCCCAAUAUUACUUUGGGCAGAUCAUUUUCCUACUCGAUCAUCUAAACUCCUAGGUUUUUUUCCCUUAUAUAUAUGAUGAUGCGAUCUCCUUUUGUAUUACUAUUAAUUUUGUAACAAGUAACUAUAUCGAGACGAUUGGUUAACAACAAAAACAAAAGUAACCCAAACUUAAAAAGAAACCACAAACUGAAGAAAUUUAUGUAUUUUUGAAUGAAGAAGGUAAGGUAAGGUAAUAGGCUAAUUGCUAGCUUGUUUAUUUAUUGAUAAGCAUACAUUAAUUUACAUGGAGCGAUAGAAGGAUAUAUCCACUUUAUUUAGAAAGCUGCAAGCUAGCCAGCUAAUUAGCAUUCUACGCCUUGAUGAACACAAAUGGAAUAAAGUCCUUAUCGUCAUCGACAGUCACCAGACGAGGAUAUCCAUUUUUAAAGUUGCCGCCGAUAUUUUUGCACUGAAGAUGAGAGGGACAAUGCAGUAACUUGUAUACAUUUUUGGAACUUCCUGGUGUCACCAAGUCAAUUUUCCUAAUCUUGAAGAUGUCGUUUUCAUUUCCUACCUUACCACCAGUUACCACCAACUGUUCAUCAUCAACUUUCCAAACAGUUUGGUCAACACACAACUUUGUUGUUUUAACAAAGAACUUGAUAUAAACAGCAGUCAUUUGACGCACCACAUCACCAUAAUCCGACUCCGACUUACGAACGAAUACGACGGGCGUGCCUUUUCCCAAAAAUUGGGGAAUUGACAUGUGCUGCAACACGGCGUUUGGGCAUUGAAGGUUUCCAAUAUUGUACAAGUAUACGGCUCCGGCCCCGAUGAGAGGAUUGUUAAUAAUGUACCUCUCGCCAAUCCUCAGCGGAUCGCCGUCUUGGUCAUAAACUUCAGGGAGUACAAGAUUAUCAUCAUCAUGACAAGUUGUGGGGAGGACAAUUGGAUUCUCAGAAGUGAAAGAUCGAGCAAAGGCAACCAAAGAGAGGGUACUUGAAAGCAAGAGGAAACUCAAAAUAUUAAUCGACUUCAUCUUUCUUUGUGUGUUUUGCCUGCUAUGAGUCUAUGUCCAAUUUAUAGACCUGCUAAGGGCAUUUUUGACAAACAAAAAAUGAAUACCUACUACCGCCUUAGACACCUCAAAUAAGUUUUAUUCAUUUUAAAUAACUAAUAUUAAGUCACUCUUAACACUUUUCUUUUUUUACUAUCAACAAAAAUAUAUAGUACAUAAUAUGUGUUACACAGAAUAAUAUGUAAAGUAUCAAAUUAAAUAAAGACAUUUCUUAUUUGUCUCCAAAAUAAAUCUUAAAUAAUAAAUUUUUAGUAAAAAUAAAAAAUGGCCAAUAAUUCAAUUUGUAGGAUAUUUAUUAUUUAAUUUGGCUUCAACUAGAGUAGUCGGUAAAAUUAAUAAAUAUUACUUGAGAAUAUUGUCCAUUGUGCUUAAAGGACUCUUGAAACUUGACAUCCAGUGGAGAACCAUUCAUGGGAUUAUUGCACUAAUAAAAUUAAGUUGCAACACCUAAUUUUACUUACCAGACUCAUGUACAUAAUUAUUAAGGAUAAAAAAUUUUAUCCGUAUAUAAUGUAUAUACUAACCUAAUAUAUAAAUGACAUGUGUUUGAAUUUAUGGUUCAUUUUACAUAAUUUUAAUUAAAUAACAUUUGUUUUGCUUCAUUUUAAUAAUUUAUAUUCACCACUGAAUACAAAUAACAGGCUAACAAUUCCAAAAAUUGAUAUUAAUAUGCUAGCUGGCAUGGAAUUAUUCCACAAGUAAAAUAUAUCACUGAAGUACGAUUGAGAUUUAUACCACUGAUUAUUUUGUUACCUAUCACGAAUGGAUCUUAAAAAUAAUGGCAAAUCAUUAUUAUGCAAGAUGAUUUUUUUUUUAAUUAUUUUUUUGACAAAUUAAUAAUUGAAGGAUAGGGUUUGCGUUAUCUGAUACAUAGAACUUAGUUUUGAAUUUGAGUAAAUUGAGUGUUGAAACUCAAGAAUAAUUAGGCAAAAUAAAAAUUGCACUUCAAAUACAUAUAACUGAAGUUUUAGUCAUUUUUUAUACACUUCAAUCAUAGGUACAUUCAAUAAAAUUAAAAUAAUGUUAAAUGAGUUUGUUAAAUGUAUUGUUAUUUUGAUAAAUUGAUGAUUCAAGUUUGUUUCAUACGAUUGUAGAUCUGAUCUUCGACUAAAUUCGGAUCGGACUUUGCAGGGCCCAUUCGAAAGGGACACUCCCAACAGGAUUUUUUCCAUACCCAGGGCUCGAACCCGAGACCUCUGGUUAAGGGUGAAGCACUCCCACCAGUGCACCACAACCCAUGUUGGUCCUAAAGUCAUUAUUAUUAAUUAGGUAGGUAUGUUCAAAAUAAUUCUUUAAAAGUGAUCAUAUCCGAUCUUAAUCAAAUACAACUCUAACUCCAAUUUUUAAAUUUUUAAAUAAUACUCCCUCCGUCCCCUUUUAGUUGUUAUGCUGCACUUUUCAAAAAAUCAUUUUUGAAUUAUUUUUCAAUUUUAAUUAGAUUACAUUAAAGAUAUUUUAAAUUAAAAAUUUAGAUAUAUAUUUAAAAGCUAUACGAAAAGUACUAUAAAUUGUAAUUUUUUGCAUAUCAAUAUGAUGAAAAAAUACAUCGUAAAAUAUUAGUCAAAGUUCUUAUUGUUUAACUCUAAAAGAAAGUCAUACAACUAAAAAAAAAUGAAGUGAAUAUAAAUAUAUUUAAUUUUCAUGAUCAAACGCAUACUAAAAUAUAUUAAUCAAGUUGCCAAUCGCCAUAAUGAUGAAAGGAAACAGGUGAAUGCAGCUCAUAUCACUGAAAAUAAAGCACUUUAUACUUCAUCUUUUCAGCACUACCAGCGUAUAAAAAAAAUGAAAAUGUGUAGUUUUCAAGUUUAAUACUAAGAGCCGUAGAGAGUUUAUUUUCGAUAAACUUGAGGGGGAAAAGCAAAAUUAAGGCAUUAACAAAUGAAUAAAGAUGAACUUAUAUGCUUUGAUUAUAAAAGUAGUCUAACAUUAUUUGUUUGUAAAAUUUGGAUGCAGUUAAACAUGGUUAUUAAAGAAUCACUUCGACUGUAUCCACCAGAUCCUAUCAUUGAACGAAUGGCUUGUGAAGAUAUGAUUUGUUAAACAUCUUAAUUUUUCAAUAAAAUAUUUUUUUUUUCAAAAUAAGUACUUUUGAUCUCAUAACAAUAAUGCGGCUUUUAACCAUGCCAGUUAUAGUUAUAUGGGUUGGGUUAUUUAUAGAAAAGUUAAAUGUACGGAACAAACCAAAUUCAAAUUAAACCUAUUAAUUAGCGAUUGAGACGUAAUUAGUUUUAAUAUGUACAUUGUGAAUUACACGUACUCAAUGGUCCCGUAAAUCUUAAUCGUAUUUUGGAUAAAAGCCACCUGGCUGCUUAGAGAUUUAAUAAUUUUGGAUGUAUUUGAUAUUUUCCCUCCGAAGACCUUAUCUUCAGUCUCACUUCUUGUAGUGUCUAUCUUCACCAUCCCACACUUUUUACUUUUAUUAUUGUGUGUUUUAAUAUAUUUAUCUAGAUUAUAUAUAAAUAUUUUUUAUUUACCUACUAUUAUUUAUCUACUAAACAAAUAAGAAUUUUAUUUUCUUGAGGAACAUCUUUCAAAAAGAAUAUUUUCUUUCGUAACGAAUAUAUCCUGAACAACCACAAAUGUUAAUAUCAACAUUUUGGUUUUAAUUGAGUUGAAAUGUUUAGAAAGAAAAACAAAGAAGAAAUGAAAACUAUUAGGCAUACAAAAGUACAAAAUAGUUAACCAAACAACAAUAAUUAAGAUACCAAAAAUGCAAAUAAUAUUCUAGUCAUGGUUUUGUGCUGAAAGUUUUUAGAUAACUUUUAUAUGUACUUCAGUCAUUUUGUCUUGGUUUUAAUAACCUUAGUUAAAAAUGUUUGAAGGUAAAAGUUCUGUAAAAUGCUUGAAAUUUUGCCUUUAUCUAAUUUACAACUUCAGUAAAAAUUGUCUGAAUUUUUUUUUAUGAUGACCUUCACAAAGGCACACCUUAGACAAAAAUGUUUAUAGGUCUAGGUUUUAAAUUGUAAAAUUUCUGCUCCAUAUUAGUUGUUUUAUCUUUUUAAAAAAUAAUUUAUCCAAAAAAAAACUUUCUAAAAAAACUUUACAAACUUAUUUACAGUUUUUAAAAAGAAUUAAUUAUUAUAAGGUUAAAAAGAGAAAAUAAUAAUUAAUUCUCUCCUGAUUUUAUAAAUUAACAAAUAAUUUAAGAAAAAUAAUUUUUAAAAAUAAUGAACGACUAAUAUUGAAUGAACACUAAUCAUCAAAGAAAUUAAAGAAUAAUUAAGUAGCCAAAUUUUCCGUUCUUAUCAUCAACUCUACUUGGAGUUGCACUGUUGCAGGCCAAUAAUGGAUAUAUAUUAUAUACUAAUGUGCCGAUGGGACCAUUAUUAGACCAUAGUUAAAACCGAUAAAGUGAUCCUAUUAAAAUAGUGAAGUAGAGAGGUGUUUUUAAAGUUAUCAAUAGUUCGAAAAUAAAAUUAAUAAUUCAUAUCAAAUUCAGAAGUGUUUUCAUUAUUUUUGUCUAUCAUCUAUUCUCGACUUUUAAAUUUGAGAGUUCAUAAACAAUAUAUGUCCUCUCAGUUUUUAAAUUCGUUCAACUUCACCAUUAUUAACAUUGUGAAAAUUAAUUCAAUGUCAAUUGUCCGUACUAUGGACAAACCCUAAAUUAUUGAAACAAAAGAUUAUACAAUAAAAUUAAUUUAGUACUAAAAAUAGCGUAAAGGGCUGAAACUAACGAACAUGGUUAAAUUAAAAUUGAGGAACAUCGUAUCUUUUUGGCCUAAAAGAUAUUUGAAUACUAUACUAAUAUAUAUCCACCAUUGAAGAUAAAUACCAACAGGCUAACAACCAAGUUAUUUUCAUUUUUGUCAUGCAAUCUUAGCUUGUUAAAGCCAAAAAUGAAUAUUAAUGUCUUGACGGGACCGCACGUGUUACUAUCCCAUAACUAAAAUGGAGUCCGAAACUAAAAGGGGAACAAUUUUUUUCGAAAAUCUCAAAAGGGCAAAUAAAUUAUUUAUGAAACCAAAAUGACAAUAAUUUGUAAUGACAUCUAAAUCAGGGUUUUCGCCGCAAGGCACAGAAAUCCAUGAGCGGUACAACAACUUUUAACCCUGUAAGGCUCAGCCGGCGUGAGCCUUACAAGGCGCAAGGCAGGCUAUUUUUUUUCAAAAAAAAAAGUUUUUAUGGUGUACGGUCCUUAAGGCUACACGUUUGCAAACUCGACCGCCCAUUUUUGUUUGUUAGAUAAAUAAAAAAAUCUGACUAUGUAGUUGAGAUGUUAAAUCAUCCAACUUUAAAUUUAUCUAAAAUGCAGUACCUUUUUUACAAAAUACAAUGUAUUUUAGUCGGUUAUUUUUUUUAAAAAAAAUUAUGCCUUUUGAGUUAUCAAAAUAGGAUUUCUAUUGACCGUAAGCUUAAUUUGAUAAUGCAAAAAAAUUUAAAAUAAAUAAAUUGUAUAUUGUAAGUAAUGCACAUUUCAACACACGUAUGACGCAUGCAUAUUAGGGGUGAAGCUAUAUAGUUCUUAUGACACUUGUUUAAGCUUGGUUUUCUAAAGAAUGUUUGGAUGUAUCGUUUGCUUAAAUAUAAUAUUUAUUUUGAUGAUUAGUUAAAUUUAAUUUAUAUCAUUAAAUUUAUGGAAAAGGGUUAAAAUUGCUCCUAAACUAUGUGAAAUAGAUCACUUAUACCCUCCAUUAUAUUUUGGGAUCAAAAAUAUCCCCGCCGUUAUCCUAGGAGACCACAAAUACCCUCAAGAGUUAAUACCCCAAAUUAUUAGUGAUGUGGCAAGCCACAUGGGACUAAUCCCUCCACCUAAGCAUUGCCAACUAAGAUUCACUACAAAAGAAUUUGACCUUUAGCGGCGACAAUAGUCGCCACAAAAGCCCAGAAAUCGUCACUAAAAGUUUUUAACAUUAAAUUCUAAUUUUGUGUUUUUUUCUUCAUUGUUUUUAAAAAACCAAAAAUGAUAUCGAUUAAGUAGGAGUUUUAAGACACUGUAUGUUUUAUUUUUAUGUCAUAUGUAAAUGUAUAAAAUGUACAAUGAUGCAUUAUAUAGUAGGAGAUUUGAAUCGAGAAGUAAUUUUGAUGAUUUUUCGUAAUAAUAUUGGAUAUUUUUAAUAUUGAUAUUUCAAAGUUAUUUAUUUUAGAAAAUUAGGUUGCAAUCAAAAAUUAAUUAUCAUAUUUUUUUGUUGAAAAAAUAGGUUUUACUAGCGAAUGGUUGUUGGAGCCUUAGUCGCCACUAAAAAUCACUAAUAACCUUUAGUGACAAUAUUUUGGGAUUUUGUGGCAACUUUGUCGCCACUAAAGGUCAAAUUCUUUUGUAGUGAAUCUUAGUUGGCAAUGCUUAGGUGGAGGGAUUAGUCCCAUGUGGCUUGCCACAUCACUAAUAAUUUGGGGUGUUAACUCUUGAGGGUAUUUGUGGUCUCCUAGGAUAACGGUGGGAAUAUUUUUGAUCCCAAAAUGUAAUGGAGGGUAUAAGUGGUCUAUUUCACAUAGUUUAUUUAGGGGCAAUUUUGAUCCUUUUCCGUUAAAUUUAUUAUUAGGUAAUAAUGUGAUUUUUCAUUUUGUGUAAUGGUUGAUUUAGUAUGAAUGUAUGGUCAUAAUAUUUUUUUUUGUUUUGUUUUACUUACUAUUUAAUAAUUGUAUUUUAUUGUUUUUUUAUAGUAAAUCUACUCCGUACUUUAUUUUUCUGGUGUGUUUAUCUUUUUAAUUUUUUUGACAUUAUGUAAUUAUCGAAAAAGAUACAAUUUAAUAUAACAUAAUAUAAUAUAUUAUAAAAUGACAUGUAACAACCAUCCAAACAAAGUAUAAAUAUAUAGUUUCAUCAAAAGUUAUGGUGAUAAAAUGGUAAAUUUCGUAGUGAGGUUUAGAUUCGAAUUAUAACAACGAAGUCACUUUCUAAUAAAUAAUAUUUUAUACCUUUAACAUGAGUUUUUUUUUAAAAAAAAUUGAACUCAGAUGCGGAAUCUCAAUACGAAUAUUGAGCCUAAAAAGUACUCUAUAAAAGAAGUUCAUAAAUAAAUAGUCCAUUUAAUGGCAAAUUUUUAUCCUUUUGUCAAUAAAAAAAAGUCCAUGAAUAAUCUUUUCCCAUAUUUGGUAUUGCAUUUUAGUUCUAAAUUAAACACCUUUUUACCUGAUUUGAUUACAAAUAUAUAAUAAAUUACUUGAAUCAUCAAAGAAAAAUUUGCACAUUAAUUAAUCAGAACCGACAUACUUAGGAAAGAUAUUAUUAGUCAUAGACUCAUAGGACAUGGAUCUUGUUCCAUAAUUACUAGUUAUAAUAACUACUGUAACAUUUAUAUAUUUAAUUAAGCCAAAUAAAUAUAAUCUUUUCCGAUUAUUUUUUAAAAAAAAAAUAGCCUUGCGCCUUGUAAGGCUCAUGGCGGUUGAGCCUUACAAGGCUAAAAGUUGUUGCGCCUUGUAAGGCUCAUGGGUUUCUGUGUCCUUGCGGCGGAAACUCUAAUUGAGACGCCGUUACAAAUUGUUACCCUUUUGAUUUCAUAAAUAAUUCAGUUGCCCUUUUGAAAUUUUUGAAAAUUUCUAUUGCCCUUUUGGUUCUGAAGCCCCCUCAUUUUGAAGUUUUGGUUUCUUAAAUCUUGUUAUCCUUGAAUUUUUCUAGCACUUAAAGUUUUGGUUUCUUAAUUUUUUUUAUUUCUUUCAAUGUAUUAAGUUUCUUUCUAUUUCAUUCUGAUUAAAUUAAAAAAAAACUUUAUUUUACUAUCUUUGUUGUGGUUAAAACUUAAAAAUAAUUAAAUGAAUUCACCUAUUUGAAACAUAAUGACAUGUUUUUCUCAUAUAUUAUUGGAAAAAAUAAUAAUUUUCUUACCGAAUAAAUUAAAUUAUUAUUAUUUUAAUCCAGUAACUUGAACUUAAUGAUGAUUGUGUUUUGAUUGUAUUUGCAUUAGUAAUGAAAUAACUUGGUGAUAUCGAAGAAACAGAGUGAUUGAUUGAAAACAUAUAUAAUAAAAAUAAUAUAUCCUCGGGGAUAUUGGAAAAUUGUUAUACAAAUAAAUUUCUACAACAACAAUAAACAAUGAAACUUCUAGUUCAAUUGAACAUACGAUAAAAUUAACUCCUUGUCAAAGCAACAUAUAAUACACAUUUGCAUUCAUUACAACAGUAUUUUUUGAGCUUUUUCUUUUUUCCAUCCUUAAACCUAAUUUAAGUCUACUGGGCAUGUCUAAUCAAAAUUAAUAUGCAAUUGAUUAAACAUAAAAGGAUCUUAUCCAUGAAAUCCACAUCACGUAAUCAAUAACAAUGCAUAUUACAACUUGGACUUAGUCGUAACUCCAAUACAAACUGAUCAAUAAUGAAUACUAAUGUCGUGACGGUACCGGAUGGGAUUAUCCAUAAGUAAUUAAUACGUAGCACUUAUUAAUUACUAAAACUUAUUUGUUUGAAAGCAGAAAUUAAUAAAUAAAGAACCUAGCUUUUUUAUUCAUCAUAAGCAUUAAUAUUACAUAGAAGCAUGCUCCACAUUAUUUUAGAAAGCGAUCGAGCUAGGUUAUAAUAAGCAUAGAUAAUUAACUAACUAUGCAUCAUUCUUGUUUACUUUGCUAAAGCCAAAGGGAUAAGGCUUGUUAUUGAGAGCCAGACGGGCGUAUCCCUUAUUUUCGUAUAGUCCGACAUCUGCACAAUCAAAUUGGCAUGUUGGACAAAUAUAUUUGACUAGGACAAUACCUUAACUUGUAAGAAUGAGGUCUCCCUGUCUCAUAUUUCUCAAUCUUGAACCAGUUCUCUAUGUUAUUAGGUCCUGGAAAUCCAAAGGUGCCACCAGUUAUAACAAACCUAAGUGGUGAAUGCGUCGGCCCUACGAUGGAAUAAGCAACUUUCCAAACAGUUUCGUUAAUACAUGACUUAGUUGAAGAAGAAGAAGUUGAGAACUUUAUACUAACAUCUUGGUUUUCAGAAACGAAAUGACUUCCAAGUUUCAUAGUAUAAAACAACACAGGUGUGUUGUUAUCAAAUUCACCAGAACUGUCCUGCACAACGCCAUUUGGGCAUUUGGUGUUUCCAAGAUUAGCUAAGUAUACGCUUCCACCGCCAAAGGGAAUACUUAUAAUGGAGUACUCCUCGUCUAUCUUGAGUGGUUCGCCGUCCAUGUCCAGCACGGGAGGGGAUACAACAUUCCCAUUAUUAUCAGAAAUGGAAAAUUCAUGAGAAAAGGCAACCAAACUUGAAACCAACAGGAAACUCAAAAUAUUACUAAUACACUUCUUCAUCUUUAAUUUGUUUGUGUGCUAUGACUCUAUCUCCAAUUUAUAGAGCUGCUAAGGGCAUUUUUGACAAACAAAAAUGACCUUUUAUUUUAGGUUAUAA